GCUCUUCCCGUCUAGCAAUGUACGGCCCAAAACCUUUUAACUCUGCAGAUUCAGUAAGUGCCAAUUGAUCCCACAAAUCCGACAUGGCAGCAUAAAAAUCUUGAAUACUGAGAUCAUGCUGUUGAAGAGCACGGAUAUCAUACUCCAACUGGUACUGCUUAGCAAAAUUAGACUGAGUGUACAGUCUUUCCAAAUGAUCCCAGACCUCCUUUGCUGUGUCAUACUUAGCCAAUUGCAUACCAAUUGACUGAGUUACAGAAUUGUUGAUCCAAGUGAUAAUCUUGGAGUUAUUAGUUUCCCAUAAGUCCACCAACAAAUCAAAAUUUUCAGUUUUAUCAUCGAUAGGUCUUGGUUUUACUCCAGUGAUAUAACCCCACAUAUUCUUCCCACGAAGAAAAUUCUUCAUGACAUAACUCCAAUAUGCAUAGUUCUUACCAUCUAAUUGAGUACUAAUGGACUGGAGAGAAUCAUCCUUUCCAGUCAUUGUAAACACAGCAACACACAAACAAUUCAAAAAACAAAAAGAUGCAAAACCCUAGGUUGAACAAUUCCGAACGAACAACAAUGGCAGCAAGCAAAAGAACGAAAGACGAACAAUACCAGACAGCAAACGAAGACAGCAACGAAUCAAUCCAACCAAAAAACCCAACGAAAAUAGCAAACGAAUACAGCAGCACCUCAAAAUCGAUCCGCGCAGUAGGUGCCUGCUACAAAAUCUUCAACCAACAAAUCAAAGGACAUGGAUCGAACUAGCUUUGAUACCAUGUUAAUAGAACUUUAUUGAAGGGAAGAAAGGCUAAGGUUUACAAUAUAAUCUGAAAAGCAUAAAACUGUCUAAAGCAAGAGUAGGCUAUAUAUACAUAGCCAAUAACCUAAAGGUCCAUAAACUAAAGGCCCAAUAACAUAUGGGCUAACACAAACAACUUAUUCUUAGAAAUUAUACAAUGCAUACUAUUUUGAAUAUGACAAACCAAACACUCAAUAAGAAAUAAUCCUAACAUAAUUAAUCUCAUCAUAACUUAUCACAUCGUAACUAAUCUCAAUCUCAGUAUAACUUGCCUUCAAAUCAAACGACCCCUAAUUGACAAACAUUUAUUCCAACUGUGAAUUUAUUCUUAUUCUUAUUCAUAUGUCACACAUAUUUUACUUUUAUAUUUUAGAUCUUUCUUUAGAUGUAAUAGUUAUUUAUUUAUUUAUUUAUUUAUUUUAAUUCAGUAUUUCUUCUUUUUUAAAAUGGGGAACAGAAGGAGAAAAGGCUAGUUAGAUUAAAACAGACUCUUAAUGUCUGAAAGAUUCUCAGUAGAAUCACUAGAUCAUGAGCAUAGGUAAUACUAAUUAGAUAUUAACUUGCCUUCUCUCAACAAAUUAUUAUUUUUUUCUCUUUUUAGAUAUAACUAGUUAUUCGUGCGAUGUGAAUAGUAGUAAUUUUUACAUUAAAAAUUUAAAAAAAAUUAUUAAAUCAGGUAGAGCCUAUAUCUGUAUUAGGCUACUUAAUUAGAUAUUGAUAAAAUAUAGAAUCAUGACAUUAAAAUCACCAUUAAAAAGAGUAGUGUAAAUAAAUCAUUUCUGUAAUGGUAUAGACAUUGAUGAGUCAAAAUUUUUAAUAUAGUGAAAUAAAAGUGCAUAUAACAUAAAUGAUUCAUUUUUAAAAGUUAGAUGGCAUAUUUAAGUCUAAAUUUUUCCUUACUAUUAAUUUAAAUUAAUAUACCCCUACUGAAUUUUAAUAAAUAAAGAUUUUAUUUUUGAUAAUUUACAUUGAAUAAAAUUUUAAUACAAUAAAUAUCACAAAAUUUAAACGUGUACCAAGACGAAAAAAAUAAGGAUAAAGAAUGAGAAAUUGCAAAAAUUAAGUUAAUUUUUUAAAAGGUGUAUGUAGGAGUGUGCAACAAACUGUAACACCUGAAAAUUUGAUAAAAUAUGUGAAAUUUGUGAUUUUUUUGAUUUGAUUGUUUUAGCCCUCUCCUUGGUUGCUUUGUGGUAUUUCUGUGGUGUGAGGGUGAUAGACACAGUUUUCGAUGCAUUUUGGUACCAUUUAUGUGAUAUUGCGAUUUUUUAUGGGUUCGACAGUUAUUUUAGACUUAUGUGAAUAUCUUUUGAUAUGUGCGACAGAUGGCUUAACGGAUUGCGCCAGCAGCUCCAAAAUAUCAAUUUUAGGCUAGGUAGACCUUUGGUUCGGAUCCCGAUGUAUCCGAGCUCAUUUUGACCUGUUGAUCGGAAAGUUUAAAAGUUGGAAAUAUGGGUGAGUCCCAAAUGACCUCAGAUGGAAAAUUUGACUUUUCCAGCAGAUCUGUAAUGUCGGUUUUAGUGUGGUAAUAUAUUUCGUAUGAUUUUAUGCUUUUUAAAUCUCAUUUUGACCCACGAUUUAGAAAAUUGUGAUUUUGGAUUUUGGGGUCAACUUUGUGAAAAUGAUAUUUUUUUCUAAAAUCUGAUAUCUCUAUUGAGUCCAGAGCGUCGAAUUUAGUAUGGUUAAAUAGUUUAUUUGUGUAUAUCAAACUCCGAAUGAAUUUCGUGCACUCCGUCAAAGUUUGGGUUGUACUUAAAGAAAGAAAAAUCUGGUGCAUAACAGUUUUUUUUGGUAUAAAAACAACUUUCCCCUCAUUUUUGCUCAUUUUUCAGAUUACCUCUUGAGAGUUAAACCUAAAAUAGUGUGAGAGCUUAAAAGUGAAGCUUGAGAAGCUAGAUUAACAUCUAUUUCUUGAUUCCAUUACGGAUUUAAGGUAAGAAUUCACCCUUUGCUUAGUAAUUUUUUGAUUAAUUUCUCAAAAUCUAAAAAAACUUAAGUCUUGAUUUUAAAUUUCAAUUUCACUCUUUUUCACUCGAAUAAUAUUUUUAUCCUGUAAUUACUAGUUUUUCAUCAAUUUAAACUUCAAAACAACUCUGAUUCUUGAUUUUUACCCGAAUUUCAAAGAUUUUACUCGAUAAAGUUUAAAAUAAUUUUUCUUCGAUUUGAACCUCUUUUUUGACUAGAUUUGACUUGGGUUUUCAGCUGUAUAUUCCUAAAAAUAUGAAGAACACGUUUUUGAAGUAAAAUUAUAAUUUUGCCAUUCUUUUUUCGAAAACUCAUUUUGGGAUUUUGGUUUGAUUUCGAACCAAAAGUAGUAAAUAUGAGCGUCGUUGAUUUUGUUUUGACGCGUAGAUUUCAUAUUUUAUGUUUUUAGUAGAAUUUGAGAUCGUUCAUGGAAAGUAAGGCCGUGGGUACGAAGUGUGGCAAACCGAUUUCGACUUUUAAGGUAGGUUAUGACUUAACUCUUUCAGAUUGGGUUGGGUAGUAAAUGAUGGAACAAAAUGCAUAUUAAGAGUGGAAACUAAUCAUGAAAAAUGACUAUCUAUGUGUUGUGCUCGUGUGGGACUUUUAUGUGAUGUAAUUAUCAAAAUUGAGUUAUUAUGUGAUGUAUGUGACUGUGUGGGGUUCUAUGUGAUGUUGAUAGCCCUGAAUAUAUGUGAAUAAUUGUAUUGUGUUGUUGAAAUGCCUAAUAUGGUACCAUUGAUAUAUUGUGAUAUAUUCAUACUUGUUGGUAUAUGAGACAUGUAGAAAUUCAUGGAUGAAAUAAAAAUAAUAAGUGGAUAUUGGCUCACAUGGUUAUGGAAAUGUAUCAUUAUGGUUGAUUGUUGAAAUAUAUCAUGUGGUUGGUCGUGGAAAUACUCAUUGUGAUUGGUUGUGAGCAUUACAUCCUCAUAUCAUACUCAUUCAUUAAACAUUGGUACCACCGUGGCAACACCUGAUUAAUAAUGAAAACACCUUUUUAAAACCCUCCUCGAGGGAUGUGCUGGAGAGGAAAUAUUGUAACACCUUAUAAAAUCCUUUUCGAAGGAUGUGCCAAAAAAGAGAUACGAGAUAUGUGGAAUGUAUACGGGUUGGCAAACCCCCCAUAGGUCCUACGUCAGAAAGCUUUUGCUCCGUAGAUGUAUACGGGGAUUGUGUGACGAUCUCGGAGGUUGUGUGAUGACCUCGUGCAUCAUCAUCAUCAUCAUCAUAAUAUACAUUGCACUUACUUUUUUGUGUUUUUGUUGUGUUGUAUUGUCAUAUUGACUUGUUAUUUAUGUAUUUGUCUUACCUUCCUUUACUUGUAUUUUAUGAUCUUGUAUUGAUAUGUUCUCUCUUGUUCUGCUUAUAUUUGACAUAAUGCAUACUUGUGUUCUAUCUUGGCAUGUUGUUGUAAUAUAUGUGAUAUAUUAUGAAACACCCUGAGUUUUAACCCUUAAAAGAUUUUCUUAGUUGAGCAUUCUGAUCAUCAUACGAUUCAUGCUUACUUGUAGUAUGAUGUGGGUACGGUUUAGGGGUCUUAAUUGUAUGUUACUCAGUAUGGUUUUGGUUACUUUAUGUCCUAGGUCCGAAUGGACAUCAUAAGGGUCGCAUAUUGAUGAUACGAGAUAGGGUGGCCACUUGUACGUUGCUCAGUGCGUCAAGCCCAUGGUAGGCUACCUAGGGUAUGGUUCUAGGGUACGAUUCAUAUGUUGUGGAUACUAGUUGGUCCAUGUAGUCAUAUAUUAGAAAAAAUUAGAGUCCAACUUCUUGCCUAGGGUAUGAGUUAAAGGUACUAGUCGUAUGUGGUGUAUACGAGUUAGGGGGGCAAGUCGUACCCUCUUGUGCAUGUUUUACAACUUUUAAGCUAGGGGUAUUUUCGACAUUUCCCACCCCAAAAACCUUAAGACCCCACACCUAAAACACAUUGUGGCCUCUUAUAACACAUUUUGUAAUAUCAAUACACUCCUAAAACUUUUUCUAAACUCUCUCAUGAAGAUUGGGCUAGGAUUUUCUUCAAGUAUUUAUCAGGAGUCUUAAAGAGCAAAUUUUCUCCGUGAAUCUUCGUGAAUAAGGCAUGCGACUCUUCACUCAUUAUUGUUAGUUCAUGAAAAUCAUGUGUUUAAAAUUGUGGUUUUAAAAACCAAUGUUGAGGGUUUUGUUGCAUAUGGUUGAGUAUUGUUUACUCUUGGUUUAAAUUGUGUUUAUACAUAUUUUGAUGAUGGUUUGCACAUGUGGGUGCUUGAAAAUUGUGGUUUAACAAAUAGGUCAUGGGUAACCCUAAACUUGAUGGUUUUUACCUUGGUUUUGGUCUUGAUAAUGGAAUCCCACAACAUGUUUGUGAAAAUGUCUAAGAGAAUGAACUAGUCACAUGUUAAAAUGGUGUUUUGAACUAAGGCAUUGGCCUAAUGAAUAGGAAUGGUUGGUAAAUAGUUUGUAAAGGCCUUUUUGGUCAUGUAAUGAUCUAAAUGGUAACCUUGGUGUUUUAAUUGGCUAAAUGGGUUCGAGUCCCAAAACAUUGAAUUAAAAUAGUAUCUUGGUUAGACAAUGGGUUCGAGUCCUAAAGUCAAAUAAAUGAUUGAUUAAUAAUGGUAAUGGCAUGUGGUAUACUUGCAAGUGGUGUUGGUAUGAAGAUACCAACGAAGUGCCUUUGGUAAGUAAUUGGUCUGAUGGUUGUGUAUGUGAAAUGAUAGUUUUAAAUUAGGUUUUAAAGCGGGAUGUAUAGCCGAUCCGUGAAAAUGGAGUCCGAAGAACUAACACUGGAAACUGCGCUAGUCGGUGUGGGUAUUUAUAUGAACGAGAGGUUUGAGUCCCCAAAAUAAAUAUAUAAUUGGGAGGUUCGAGUCCCCCAUAUUAUAUACAUUGGUGCUAAGUCACCUUGACUAUGUCGGGAGGUUCGAGUCCCCCAUACUAGCAUAUAUGGUUAUGGGUAUUCUCUAAUUUAUGCGACUACACGCACUGGGGCCCUUCCAGCUAGGGAAGAGCUGGGCCCAUAUAUCCCAUGGGUGCCUUGUAUUAUGACGGUUAAGCUACACAACCCAGGUUAAUAUUUUCAAAGUUCAUGCUAAGCCUUGUUCCCUUUCUCAGCACGAUAUAUAUAUAUAUGUAUGUAAGAGAUUGCAUAUAAUUUUUUGACUUGGUUUUGAAUAAUGACACUAAUCUAUCCUUAUUCCUGAGUUACAUGCAAGCAUUGUAACCGCUAACUGUCUUCGGGUACUGUAUCCCUACGUAAUAUAGGGACCAAAGCUUGUUCUUCUUUUCCUACGCAGUGAUCAGGUGUUCGAAUAUGUUUGUGAGUUGACUUUGAAGUGGUAAGCUUCCAUACUUUGGAAGGAUUUAUUUCAUGGUUUUGUUAUCAUUUGUCUUAGACUUGGUUUAGACAAUAUUUUGGCUAUUAUCAGGGUCAUGUCUCGACAUAAUUUAUUAACUUCGGAUUAUAGAGGCGUUGUAGAUUAUUGUGGACUGUGGUAUGUUAGUUUAGCAUGUGUUGUUUUGAUGGAUUGAGUUCGACCCUUUAUGAGAUUUGAUUAUUAGUCUUAUUUUGCUUUAUCUUUUUAUAUGUUUGGAUUUCACCCGACAUUUGAGGUUGGUGUAAUGAAUAGGUUAGGUGAAGGGGCUGAUCUCCGUUCAUCGUGGGCUUGAGAUACACAUCACGGCCAGGCCCUGAUUCGGGUCAUGACAAAGUUGGUAUCAGAGCCUAGGUUUAUGGUCAAUUGGGUGUCCUCAAAGUUGUGUCAACUAAAGUCUCUUUUAUGGGUGUGUAGUGCACCACACUUAUAAGGAAGAGGCUAUGAGACAUUUAGGAAUGUUUUCCUUUCUUGUUGUCUUAAUAUCAAGCUAUAGAGUCUAAAGUCUUAGAUUCAUCUGAUUUUCUUUUGCUUGUCUUUCAGAUCAUGCCUCCGAGAAGAUUUGAUGUUUAUGCAAACCCUUUUGUCCUGUUUGAGGACUGUAGAUGGAGCUCAUCCAAUUUCUGAGGUAUAGACCCAAUCAAGGGUCGCUGAAUCUGAUUGUCCUCGUGGGGUUCCACCUAUCCCCAUGAAUCUAAAUCUAAGGGUGACACUCAUACUCAGUCGCCUCAUGGAGUGGUUACUAAUACUGAGUUUCAUUGCUCCAUUACCCUGUUGACUCAGUUGGUGACAUCUCAGUCACAAUAGUCUGGAUCCGUUGGUGUUGCUAUGGGUUAGUAUAAGGCCAUUAAAGUUGGCCAAUUCAUGAGGUUGCAUCAUCCAACGUUUACAAGUAUAAACGUUUAUGAGGAUCCUUAAGGUUUUAUCAAUGAGAUGGAGAAGAUCUUUCGAGUUAUGCAUGCCUCGAAGGUCGAAGGUGUUGAGUUUGCAGCCUACCAAUUAAAAGAUGUGGCGUACUAAUAGUACAAAGAGUGGGAACAGUCAAGAGAUGAGAAUGUUAGUUCUGCCAUGUGCGAUGAUUUCUCUAGUGUGUUUCUGGACCACUUCUUUUCUCAGGAGUUGAGGGAAACUAAAGUGGAAGAAUUUCUUAAUUUGAAGCAAGGAAGGAUGAUAGUCAAGGAUUAUGCUUUGGAAUUCCAUUAGUUAUCCUGGUAUGUUUCCGAAUUGGUAUCUAAUUUUGAGGGCCCGAAUGAGAAAGUUUGCUUCGGGAUAUCUCGUGAGUUGAUUCUUGAGAGUAAGGUAGCCUUGUUAAUCAAGGACAUGGACAUCUCCAGAUUGGUUGUGUAUAUACAACAGGUCAAAGAGGAGAAAAAAACAACCUGAGAUUGGAGAGAGGUAGAGUAAGAGAUCUCAAUUUUUAGAAUAGAGUAGGGGCCAUCAGUAAAGUGGGAAGUUGCCCAAGAAGAAGUGUUAGGAUAUUUUUAACUCCUAUUCGACGGCUAGUUCUCUCUAUAUGAAGCCGAUGAGAGAUAAAUAUUUUCAGAGUGGUGAUGCUUCUAGGGAGUAGGGUGUCCUUUCUCAGGCCAGUGGGGCCCAGUCUGCACUAUCUUACCCUUCUUGCAGAUUUUGUGGUCUACAUUAUUAUGGAUAGUGUAAGAAGGGAAGGAACUAAUGUUUAAUGUGUGGUCAGAUUGGUCAUACACAGUGAGAUUGUCCCUCUAGAGUUGAUUUCGAGGCAAACAAGGUUCAUGUUGCCUCUUCAUCAUCUCCUGCAUCAAAGGGUGCCACCAGUUGAAACCGCCUUUAUGGUCUUAAUACUCAUUAGGCGUCCAAGGCAUCUCCAAAUGUUAUUACUGGUAUGUUGAAACUCUUUUUCCUUGAUGUGAAUUAUUAUUUGAUCUGAGGUCCACUCUUUCUUAUGUGACCCUAUUUGUGGAUGUGUAUUUUAUUUUGGCCCCGAGUGUCUGUCGGACCCAUUUUCUGUUUCUACCCCAGUAAGAAACUCUGUGGUUGUCAGAAGAGUCUAUGGGGAAGGGGGUGGUAGCUGUUAGUAGUAUGGAAACUCUGGUAGACUUGAUAGAAUUGGAUAUGGCUGAUUUUGAUGUUAUCUUUGGGAUGGACUGGUUGCACUCGUGCUAUGCUUUCUUAGAUUAUCGGACCCAUAAGGUCAUGUUUAAAUUCCCUAAUGAGAAGGUUGUUGAGUGGGAGGGUGGUUUCCUUUAUCCUAAGGAAAGGUUUAUAUCCUAUCUAGAGCCCAGAGAUUAAUCUCCAAAGGGUGUCUCUAUCAUCUGGCUUGGGUUAAAGAAUCUAACUCGGAAGGCCCUUCUUUGUAUUUUGUUCCUGUAGUAAAUGAGUUCACUGAUGACCUUCAUGGUGUCCCUCCUGAUAGAGAGAUUGAUUUUGGCAUUGAUCAUGUUUUGGACACUCAUCCAUUUCUUAUUCCCCCAUAUAGAGCGGCUCUGGCUAAGUUAAAGGAGCUUAAGUAACAACUAAAGGAUAUUUUAGACAAGGGUUUCAUCCUUCCUAGUGUGUCCCCGAGGGGUAAACCUAUGUUGUUCGUGCGUAAGAAGGAUGAUUGCCUUCGGAUACAUAUUGAUUGCCGACAGUUGAAUAAGGUGAUAGUAAAGAAUAAGUAUCCCCAUUGGAGAAUUGAUGAUCUCUUUGAUUAGCUUCAGGGUGCCAAAUUCUUUUCUAAGAUUUAUCUUUGGUCCGGGUUUCAUCAGUUAAAGAUUAAGGGAGUGGAUAUCCCUAAGAAAGUUUUUCGUACCCAUUGUGGGCAUUUUGAGUUCUUAGUGAUAUCUUUUGGGUUGAUCAAUGCCUCUGCGACAUUCAUAGAUUUGAUGAAUAUGGUCUUUCAUCAGUUUCUAGAUUUGUUCAUCAUGGUCUUCAUUGAUAACAUCUUAGUGUACUCUAAGAGCAAGGUGGAUCAUGGCAAUCACCUCUGUCUUAUGUUGAAGACCUUGAAUAAUCAUCAAUUGUAUACUAAGUUCCCUAAGUGUGAGUUUUGGUUGAAUGUCGUAGCUUUUUUAGGCCAUGCUGUGUCUAGUGAAGGGAUUAUGGUGGAUCCUCAAAGGGUUGUUGUGGUUAAGAAAUGGCCUAGAUCCACGACUCUAACCAAUAUUUAGAGCUUCUUAGGUUUAUCUGGGUAUUAUAAAAAGUUUAUGGAGAGUUUUUCUUCUAUUGUUGCUCCAUUGACCAAAUUGACUCAGAAAAAGGUAAAGUUCUUGUUGUCUGAUUCUUGUUAAGGUAGCUUUGAGAAGCUAAAAGAUAAGUUGGCUUCUGCUCUGGUCUUGACUCUACCUGAGCAUAUCGAGGGUUUUGUUAUCUAUUGUGAUGCCUCGGGUUGGCCUGGGUUGUGUGUUGAUACAACAUGGUAAGGUGGUUUCUUAUGCCUCUGGACAGUUGAAGGUUCAUGAGAAGAACUAUCCGACCCAUGAUUUGAAAUUGCUAGUUGUAGUAUUUGCGUUGAAAAACUGGCGUCACUAUCUAUAUGGGGUUCAUGUUGAUAUCUUUCUGAGCAUAAGAGCCUUCAGUAUGUGUUCACUUAGAAAGAGCUUAACCUCAGGCAAAAUAGUUGGCUUGAGCUUCUCAAUGACUAUGAUAUAAGUCUUCAAUACCAUCCAGGUAAAGCUAAUGUAGUUGCUGGAGCUCUUAGCUGGUUGUCUAUGGGUAGCUUAUCGCAUGUGGAUAAGGAUAAGUGGGAAUUGGUGAAGGAUAUUCACCGUUUGGCUAACCUUGGAGUUCGUCUCUUGGACUCCAAAGAUGGUGGCGCUUUUGUACAAAAGGUGGAUCAGUCGUCCCUUGGUUCAGAAAUAAAGAAGAAAAAAGUGUUAGAUCCUCUUUUGGUGAAGAUCAAGGAUGAUGUUGGUAAGAAAAAGGUGAUGGCCUUUGAAAUUGGUAGUGAUGGUAUCUUGAAGUACUAAGGGAGGUUGUGUAUUCCAUACUUGGAUGGAUUACGAGGCAGGAUUUUUGCCGAGGCUCAUGAGUUGCAGUAUGCAGUUCACCCCAGCUCGACAAAGAUGUAUCAUGAUCUUAAGGAGAUGCACUGGUGGAAUGGCAUAAAAUGGGAUGUAGCCGACUUUGUGUCUAAAUAUUUGGUAUGUCAGUAAGUAAAAGUGGAGCACUUAAGACCCGGUGGGAUACUUCAAGAGAUUAAAAUGCCAAUGUGAAAAUAGAAGAUAAUUAAUAUAGAUUUCAUUACUAGUUUUUUGUGGUUACAAAAUCAGUAUAUCUCCAUUUGGGUCAUCGUGGAUAGGAUGACUAAGGUCGCUUAUUUCUUUCCCUUGAGGAUAACUUAUUCUAUCGAGGAUUAUGCUAUGUUGUAUCUCCAAGAGAUUGUAAAAUUGCAUGCUGCGCCCGUCUUGAUUAUUUUUUAUUGUGGUACUCAGUUCUCAUCGCAUUUUCAGCGCUAUUUUUAGCGUGGUUUGGGGACUAAGGUGAGUCUUAGUAUUACUUUUCACCCGCAGUCGGAUGGGUAAGUCAAAAGGACUAUUCAGACCUUGGAGGAUAUGUUGUGGCCUAUGUGAUUAAUUAUGGUGGUAUUUUGUUCAGCCAUGUUUCUUGGAUUGAAUUUUAUUAUAACAAUAGUCGCCAUUCUAGAAUUGGUAUGGCCCUGUUUUAGGCAUUGUAUGGUACAAGGUGUAGAUAUCUUAUUGGGUGGUUCGAGGUAAGUGAAGCAGAAAUAUUUGUCUUGAAUUUGGUUCACCAAGCCACGGAGAAGGUGAAGGUAAUUCAGGAUAGGAUCAAGACCGCCCAAAGUCUACAAAAGUCCUAUAAGGAUGUAAGGCGAAGGGAUUUGGAGUUCGAGGUUGCAGAUUUGGUAUUUUUGAAGGUGUCUCCCAUGAAGGGAGCAAUGCGAUUUGGGAAGAAGGGAAAGCUUAGUCACCUGUAUGUUGGCCCUUAUGUGGUUUUGAGAAGGGUUGGUAAUGUCACAUAUGAGUUGGAUUUGCCUCCUAGCAUGAGUUCUAUUCAUUCGAUAUUCCACGUACUAUGUAGCAGAAAUAUGUGGGUGAUUCUUCAUUGGUUGUCCCUUUAGAGGACAUUGAUAUUUCGUAUUCUUUAUCCUAUGAGGAGGUCCCUGUGAUGAUAUUGGAUCAACAAAUUCACUGGUUACGAUCGAAAGUUGUGUCUUCAAUGAAGUUCUAUGGAGGAACCAAAAGUUCAAGGAAGCUACUUGGGAAGCCGAGUAAGACAUACAGUUCAAGUAUCCAUACCUUUUCCCCACCCUGGAAAAUUGUGCUUGAGUUGUGUUGUUAUUGACAUCCAUUCUUUAUGUCUAGUUAAAGAUAGAUUAUGGAUUCCUUGAAGUUUUGUUUUCUGUGUUCAAGGUAAUAAUAGAGAUGUUUGGAGUUUAAUCGUGCUACUAGUGCCUCUUUCCAUUAUUCGAGGACGAAUGAUCCUAAGAGGGGAUAAUGGAACACCCUGAGUUUUGGCCCUUAGAAAAUUUCUUAAGUUGAGCAUUCUAAUCAUCAUCCGACUCAUGCUUACUUAUCGUAUGAUGUGGGUACGAUUUAGGGGUCUUGGUCAUAUGUACUCAGUAUGGUUUUGGUUACUUUCUAUCUAACGUAUGAAUGGACAUCAUAAGGGUCAUAUGUUGAUGAUACGAGAUAGGGUGGCCACUCAUAUGUUGCUCAAUGUGUCAAGCCCAUGGUAGGCUGCAUAGGGUAUGGUUCUAGGGUUCCAAUCGUAUGUUGUGGAUACUAGUUGGUCCAUGUAGUCGUAUAUUGGAUAGAGUGGAGUCCAACUUUCUACCUAGGGUAUGAGUUAAAGGUACUAGUCGUAUGUGGUGUGUACGAGUUAGGGGGCCAAGUCGUACCCUCCUGUGCAUGUUUUACAUCUCCUAAGCUAGGGGUAUUUUAGAUAUUUCCCACAAAAAACCCUUAAGAUCCAACGUCUUAAAACACAUUGUGGCCUCUCAUAACAUACUUUGAAAGAUCAAAACACUCCUAAAACUUUCUCUAAACUCUUCAAGUGUACAUCUAAAGUCUUAAAGACCAAAUUCUCUCUGUUAAUCUUCAUGAAUAAGGCAUGUGAUUCUUCUUUCAUUGUUAGUUCAUGAAAAUUAUGUGUUUUAAAGUUUGUUUAUGAUUCAUUAAUGGUGUUUUUGAAAACCAAUGUUAAGGGUUUUGUUGCAUAUGGUUGAGUAUUGUUUACUCUUGGUUUAAAUUGUGUUUAUAGAUAUUUUGAUGAUGGUUAGCACAUGUGGGUUCUUGGAAAUUAUGGUUUAACAAAUGGUUUAUGGGUAACCCUAAAUUAGAUGGUUUUAACCUUGGUUUUGGUAUUUAUAAUGGAAUGUCCACAAUAUGUUUGUGAAAAUAUCUAAGAUAAUGAACUAGUCAUAUGUUAAAAUGGUGUUUUGAACUAAGGCAAUUGCCUAACGACUAUGAAUAGUUGGUAAAUUAUUUCGUAAAGGCCUUGUUGGACAUGUAAUGAUCUAAAUGGUAACCUUAAUGGUUUAAUUGGCUAAAUGGGUUUGUGUCCCUAAACAUUGAAAUGAAAUAGUGUCUUUGUUAUAUAACGAGUUUGAGUUCCAAAAUCAAAUGAAUGAAUGAUUAAUAAUAGUAAUGGCAUGUGGUAUACUUGAAAGUGGUGUUGGUAUGACGAUACCAAUGAAGUGUCUUUGGUAAGUAAUUGAUCUAAUUAUUGUGUAUGUGAAAUUAUGGUUUUAAAUUGAGCGUUAAAGCGGGAUGUGUAGUCGGGCCGUGAAAGUGGAGUCUGAAGGACUAACACUAGAAACCGCAGUAGCCGGUGCAGGUGUCUAUAUGAUCGAGAGGUUUGAGUCCCCCAAAUGAAUAUAUGAUUGGAAGGUUCGAUUCACCCAAUUGUAUACAUAGGUGCUAAGUCACCUUGAUUAUGUUGGGAGGUUCGAGUCCCCCAUAGUGGCAUAUAUAGUUAUGGAUAUUCUCUGGUUCGUACGGCUACACACACUGGGGCCCUUCCAGCUAGUGGAUAUCUGGUCCCAUAUAUCCUGUGGGUGCCUUGUAGUAUGGAGGUUAAGCUACACAUCCCAGGUUAAUAUUUUCAAAGUUUAUGUUAAGCCUUGUUCACUUUCCCGGCACGAUAUAUAUAUAUAUAUAUAUAUAUAUAUGUAUGAGAUUGCAUAUAAUGGUUUGACUUGGUUUUGAAUAAUGGCACUACUUUAUCUUUAUUCAUGAGUUAUAUCUAACGCUCCAAUUGUUAAUGGUCUCUGGACGUUGUAUCCCUAUACGAUACUGAGACCGGAGCUUCUUCUUUUUUUCCUACGCAGUGAUCAGGUGUUUGGGUCGGUUCAUGAGUUGACUUUGAAGUGGUAAGCUUCCAUACUUCAUAAGGCUUCAUUUCAUGGUCUUGUUAUUAUUUGUCUUAGACAUAGUUUUGACAUUAUUUUGGCUAUUGGCGGUCCACCUAUGAUACCUAGUGAGUACAAGUUGACUGUACUCACUCCUACGUCACCCUUUUGGUGAUGCUUUAGGUUCAGGUGCUCCUCAGACUAGCUGAUUUCGGAUGCCUUCAUAUUUCUCAAGGUAGUGGUUGGACAUUUAUACAUCCGGAGUUCACUUCUAUCUUUCGAUACUAGUUAUGUCUUUUUUAGUGUUCAAAGAUAGAUAUUUUCAUUUGUAGUUAUUUUUCUGAUGUAUUUAAUUCUGGAAUUAUAAUAAUAGUUCUUAUACUCUUUGACUCUGAGUUUUGGGAGUUUUGGAUGCACGUGUUGAUUUUAUUCUUUUCGCUUUUAUAUGUAUGUGGUUCGACUUUAUUCUAGAAGCCUUACCUUGGGGGUAUUUCUAUCUUUUCCCUAUUGUGUAUCAAUUUAGGUGAUAGGCUUACUUGUCAAGGAUUUCCACAACAAGUGCCAUUAUGACCCUUGUAUUUUUGGAUCGUGAUAAAUUGGUAUCAGAGCAUCUAGAUUUCAUUGGUCUCAAUGGUGUAAGAAUGAGAUGUCUAAUAGAGUCUCGCAGAUCGGUAUGUAGACGUCCAUAUCUAUCUUCGAGAGACUAUGAGGAAACUUUACUUAUUAUAUUCCUUAUCGUAUGAAGUUCUUUCAUACCUUGUGUUCUGAGUUAUAUUUCACUCUUUCUUUGUGGAUGUUGUUGCUUAUAGGGACUAUCAGUUGAGAGAUUUUGGUAGAGUUUGGGGGAGGUAGCUUAUGAGUUAUAUACCCCGUGAUUCUCCCAAGAAAAAUUGGGAUCAGUUCGUCGAGGCAUUCCUAGAGAGAUUUAUGCCUUUCAAUUUGAGAGAUCGUAUCUAGGAUGAGUUUGAUCAUUUGAAGCAGCGCUCCAUGACAGUUGCUGAGUAUAAGGCACUCUUCCAUGGCUUGUCCAGUAUUCCUAUAAUCACAUUUUUGUCGAGUUUGAGAAGAUUUAAAAGUUUGUAAAGGGUUUAGAUGUUUUUCUUCAGUUGGCUACAUCUCAGAUGGUUGUGCUUGGAGCCUUUUUUUUAGAGUAUUAUGGAUCAUGCAAAGAUGACAGAGGGUAUCCUUAGAGCAUCUCAGGGAGAUGCCAAGAAGGUACGGUAUUUUGGUGAGUUCAGGAGUCAGAUCUCUCAAAGUAGAGAUUUUAGAGGUUCUUAUAGAUGCUAUGGUAGCGAAGUACAGGUGGAUUUACAGAGUUCAGGUGGUUGAUCUUAUAGUUGUGCUUGCCUUGAAGUUGUUGAGGCACUACUUGUAUGGAGUCUGUUGUAAGAUCUUUUCAUUAUUGUAGCCUUUAGUACUUCUUUACCCAGCGAGAUAUUAAAAUGAGGCCGCAUCAUUGGCUUAAGUUUCUUAAGGAUCAUGACUUGAUUAUUAUCCACAAUCCGGGCAAAGCUAAUCUUAUUGCGGAUGCCUUGAGCCGAAAGUCAACUAGCAUGGGUGACUUGGCACAUAUUUUGACAUAGGAGAGGCCUUUAGACUUAGAGGUUCAGUCUUUAGCUAACCAGAUGGUUGGGCUUGAUAUUUCGAUGCUUGGGUGUGUUUUAGAUUUUAUGGAGGCUAGAUUUUCUUUGAUGGAGCAAAUUCGAGCUCAUCAAUUUGAUGAUGUUGGAUUAAGGUUGAUUCGAGAUAAGGUGUUGAGUGGGAAGGCUAAGGAAUCCUAACUUAAUUCAUAUAGAUUUUUGACGAUUAAGGGAUGAGUUUGUGUUCCAUGAGUGGGUGGUUGGAUUAGGUUAAUCUUGGAGGAGGCCCAUUGUUUCAGUUACUCCAUCCAUCUAGGUGUGACUAAGAUGUAUCGUGAUUUAAAAUAGCACUACUGGUGGGUUGGUAAAAGGAGAGAUAUAGAGAACUUUAUGGCACAUUGCCUAUGUUGUCGGCAGGUAAAGUUCGGCCAUAUCAGACCUAAUAAAUUGCUUCAGAGGUUAUCUAUUCAUGAGUAGAGGUGAGAAUAGAUCACCAUGGACUUUGUGACUUAUUUGCCUCAUACAUCUCAUGGUUCUACAGUGUUUAUGUCAUCAUGGAUCGAUUGACCGAGUCAGUUUAUUUUAUUUUAGUUCAGGUCUCAUUGAGUGCUGAGAGGUUGGCCCGUAUCUACAUUCAUGAGAUUGUCCAUCUUCAUGGUGUGCUGGGGUCCAUUAUUUCAGAUCUAGGUCUUGUAUUCACAUCUCACUUUUGGAAGAAUUCUCAAGAUGAGUUUUGUACUCGGGUGGAUCUCAGUACAAUAUUUUACCCCCAGACUGGUGGCCAGUUAGAGCGGACUAUCCAAGUUUUGAAGGAUAUAUUUCACGCUUAAGUGAUGGAUUUUGAUGGCUAGUAGGAGCAACAUUUGGCUUUAGUAGAGUUUGUAUAUAAUAAUAGCUACAGUUCCAGUAUUAAUAUGGCUCCUUUUGAGGCAUUGUAUGGUAGGCGUUGCCUCUCCCUAGUGGGUUGGUUUGAUGUUUCAUAGGUAAGACCUCGAGGUGCGAACUUGCUUUGUGAGUCUUUGGAUAGAGUCCAGGUCAUUUAGGAUAGACUUAGAGUGGCACAGAGUAGGCAGAAGUGUUAUACUUGUCCUAGGCUUCUGCCUUGAGAUUUGGUGUUGGUAAUUGUGUUUUUCUUUGAGUUUUACCCAUGAAGGGUGUGAUGAGGUUUGGUAAGAGGGGCAAGCUUAGCCCUAGGUAUAUAGGCUCAUCUAAGAUUCUUAGGAUUGUUGGUGAUGUGGCUUAUGAGUUGGCUUUUCCCCCUGAUCUAUCAAUUGUUCAUAUAGUUUUUCAUGUUUUUAUGUUUUGCCGCUACAUUCCUGAUGAGUCUCAUGUCAUUCUUUGGGAGUCGAUUCAGUUAGAUGAGCGGUUGUCUUUUGUUGAAGAGCCGAUCUCCAUUUUGGCUUGGGAUGUUAGACAGUUGCGCUCUAGAGUUAUCCGUAUGGUUAAGGUUCAGUGGUAACAUUGACCUGUAGAUGAGGCUACCUGGAAGGUCGUGUCUAAUAUGCAUAGUUCUUAUCCUCAGCUCUUCGUUGAUUCAGGAAUUUAUUUGCCUUAGUUCGAGGCCAAACUAGAUUUUUAGUGAUGGAUGAUGUAACGACUUGAAAAAUUCAUAAAAUUUGUGAUUUGUGGGAUUCGACUGUUUUAGACCUCUCCGUAGUUGCUUUAUGGUAUUUUUGGGGUGUGAGGGUGAUUGCACAGUUCCCAAUGUAUUUUGUUACCAUUUAUACGAUAUUGUGGUUUCUGAUAACUUUGAGAGACUUAUUUUGGACUUAAGUGGACAUAUUUUGAUCCAUUAGACGUAUGACUGAACGGACUAUGUCAGCAGCUCUGAAAUAUCUUAGGCUAAGUAGACCUUUGGUUCUGGUCGCGAUGCAUUUUAGCUCAUUUCGACCUGUUAGUCGAAAAGAUGGAAAAUUAAAAAUAUGGGUAUGGGACCUAUAUUUGAUCCAAAUGACCUCAGAUGGAAAAUAUGACUUCGCCAGCAGAUCCAGAAUAUCAAUUUUAGGAUGUUAAUAUGUAAUGCCCCAGGAGUACACCCUGGACGCCGCACGGUGCUUACGAUCACAAGUGACCACUAGCUAACCCAUGUGCUAGUACCUGCUGUGAGCACUGAACAAUACUGAUAACAAAGAAAUAUUUGCGGAAACAACUGAAUAUGCCAUAAGGUUUACAUACUAUAAACAAUACCACUGAAAUCUACAAAUAUGAAACAUAAGCAAAAAUGCUAAAAAUUGACUGAUAUAACAGACAACUAACUGACUGUUUGAAAGUAUCUGAAAGCCUCUAAACUGACUAAAUAAGUGUUGAUGGUACAGGACCUAACUAACUCAAACUAACUGAAAUAAAAUACUGAACAACUGAAUGAAAAUCUGAGAUAAACAACCAUGUCCUGGAUAGAUGAGGACUCACAACGACUACUGCUGCUGAUGCGCUAGAAUGUCUAAGUGUGGUCUCCGAACCUAUGAUAUGCGAUAUCAUAGUGCAAGAAACAAACAUAUGGUCUGUACUUUGAAUAUACAAGUAUGUUAAAUAAUUUUAGGCUGAUAUGCAUGGGCUCAUGUGCAUGAAUAAUAACUGACUGAAUGAAUAGCAUGAGGUAACUGAUGCAUAACAUGUGUGAAAGCUAUAAAAUCUGAUAAUGCAUAACCAAGCAUAUAACAUGAUAUUGAAAUAGUCUGUAAACUGAAAUACUAUAAUACUGGGACUGAAUAACUGAUAGUUAUAUGUUAUGGUCAAGCAAACUUGAAACUGAACUCUGAACUGAAAUACUGAACUGAGACUGUAGGAGCUAUCAUCUAACUGACAUGCCCCAAUAUAAGCUAAUUUAGGGUCCAACCUGUGACACCAGUUGGAAGGGUGUCAGUACCGUGCCAUGGGUACUAACAUAAGGCUACAUGGAUCCACUAAAGUGAAGUACCAAAGGACUAAAGAGUCACCCUAUACUGGCAGGUACUCUAGUGUGAUAUAUGCCAACCCUCAACAGGCAGGUUAACGUCUCAACCUACGCUGGUUACGUAGUUCUGAAAUGCAGGGACUAAUACUAAAGGUCACACCCUCAACUGGCAGGUAAGCCCCCAUCCCUAUGUUCUCUCGAUGCUAAAUUCCACCCCCAACUGAAUUGACUCGGAUUACUGAACUAAUCUAUGUUUGACUGGUAUGAUAACUGACUGAACUGGUAAUACUCAAAUGUUUCAAAACUAUUUUAAAACUAGUGAGACUAAGUAAACAGCUAAGUUUUUGGGUAUUCAUAACCUCCAGGAUUUGAUAACAUUAACAGUAGAAACAUACUAAGGCUUCAAAAGAAUAAUAAGUAGUCGUUGUUCAAAAUUCAUCUCCGAGGCAUUUCAUCAAACACCUGAAAUUCAUGAACUUAAGCAUGAGAAUGAUUGAAACAUAUGGGAUUAACAUAAUCAUAAAAUUUAAACCAUACAUUGGGGAUUUAACAUGGAAUUUCAUGCUUCAAAAUGUGUAAACGGUUCUUUCCAACUAACAACACUUUAAUCAUCAUGCAUAAUCAAAAUUCCCAAAAGCUUUAUGAAAACAACUCAUUGUAAACAUGUAAAUUCAUGAUUUAAAACAUAAAAAUAGGUUCUUAGACUCCAUGGGUUAAAAGGGCCCAUGGAUGAACAUUUAACAUACCUUAAAGCUUUAAUCUUGCAAGAGAAUUUACUUUCUUGAUCUUUCUUGGGUGGUGAAGCUUUAAUUCUUGAGUUUUCUUAAAGGAAUAAUGAUUGUCCUUGAUGAAUUUGGGGAAAGGUUAGGGUUUAGUUUACAAAGAAAUUAAGGAAUUUUGGCAUAUAAUUCCUUAACUGGUGAUAAACCCCAUGUUUUUACGGAUUGGGGUGGUGGGAAAAGAUAAAACUGUCCCCUCUAGGAUUUAAAUUCAUAACUGGAAUGCCGAAUGCCGAAUUGGGAAUUACCGCGACACGAUUAACCCCUCAUCGCUAUACUCAACGCGACGUGAUGCAAUCGCGUUGAGCUGCUGGAAUCGAAAUUCAAACGUGCCUCAAUCCUCAUCCAAAAAAUCCAAAAUUUCCCCGAGACAUGAUACUUACACCCCUGAACAUGAAUUAACUUACAAAUCAUCAUCUCAGGGUUGAAAAGGUCACUUUAAAAAUCAUCGAAGUUAAGAGGCCAAAAAUAAAAUUAAGUCCCCAACACUUAGUAAAAUUUUCAGGUUCUAAGCCUAUUAUGCAUGCACUAUGGGCUGAACUGAGAUAAGACUAAUUCGGGGUAUUACAUAACAUGUUUGGUGUGAUUUUACGACUUUUAAAUCUCAUAACAACCCUUUGUUUGAAAAAUUAUGAUUUUUGGUUUCGGGGUCAACUUUUUUAAAAAAAAAUCUAAAAAAAUCUGAUAUCGACAUUGAGUUUGGAGCAUCGAAUUUAGUGUAUAUACAUAGUUCGUUUGCAUAUAUCAGACUUCAUAUGAAUUUCGGGCACUCCGUCGAAGUACGAGUGGACUUAAAGAAAGAAAAAUCUGGUGCAUAGCAGUUUUUUAGGUAUAAAAAACGGCUUUUCCCCUUCUUUCUGCUCAUUUUUCAUCUUGGUUCGUGAGAGUUAAACCCUAAAAUAGUGUGAGAUAUUAAAGGUGAAUCUUGUUGAAGCUUGGGAAACUAGAUUAACAUCUAUUUCUUGAUUCUAUUACAGAUUAAAGGUAAGAAUUCACCCUUUUCUAAGUAAUUUUUGAUUAAUUUCUCAAAACCCCAAAAAUCUUAGGGCUUGAUUUUAAACUUCAAUGUCACUUAUUUUCACUUGAAUAAUAUUUUUAUCCUAUAAUUACUAGUUUUUCAUCAAUUUAACCAUCAAAACAACUCUAAUUCUUGAUUUUAAUCCAAAUUUCAAAGAUUUUACUAGGUAAAGCUUAAAAAUAUUUUUCUUCGAUUCGAACCUUAUUUUUUACUUGAUUUGACUUGGGUUUCAGCUGUAGAUUCCUAAAAUUAUGAAGAAAACAUUUUUAAAGUAAAGUUAUGAUUUUGCCAUUCUUUUUCAAAAAUCUACUUUGUAGGUCCAUUUUGACCCAAUCCAAAAAUAGUAAAUAUGGACGUCGUUGAAUUUUUUUUGAUGCUAAGAUUCCAUAUUUGAUGUUUUUAGUAGAGUUUGGGAUCAUUCGUAUAAAGUAGGUCGUGGGUCCGAAGUGUAGCAGACCUGUUUUGACUUUUGAAGUAGGUUAUGGCUUAACUCUUUCAGACUGGGAUUGGUAGUAAGUAAUAGUAUAAAAUGCAUGUUAAGGGUGGGAACUAAUCAUGAAAAAUAUUUAUAUAUAUGUUGUGCCUAUGUGGGGCCUAUAUAUAAUGUAAUUGUCGAAAUUGAGAUAUUAUGCGAUGUGUGUGACUGUGCGGGGUCCUAUGUGAUGUUGAUAGCCCUGAAUACAUUUGAAUAAUUAUAUCGUGUUGUUGAAAUAACUAAUGUGGUACCAUUGGUUUAUUGUGAUAUAUUCACACUUGUUGGUAUAUGAGACACGUGGAAAUUCAUGGAUGAAAUGGAAAUAAUGAGUGGAUAUUGGCUCACAUAUUUGUGGAAAUAUAUCAUUGUGGUUGGUUAUCGAAAUAUAUCAGGUGGUUGGUUUUGGAAAUACUCAUUUUGGUUGGUUGUAAGUAUAACAUCCUCAUAUCAUACUCAUUUAUGAAACAUUGGUACCACCGUGACAACACUUGAGUAACACUGACAACACCUUUUUAAAACCCUCCCCGAGAGAUGUGCUAGAGAGGAGAUAUUGUAACACCUUAUAAAACCCUUUUCGAAGGAUGUGCCCAAAAGGAGAUAUGAGAUAUGUAGAUUGUAAACGAGUUAAUGAACCCAUAUGGGUCCUACGUCGGGAAGCUUUAGCUCCGUAGGUGUACACUGGGAUUGUCCGACAAUCUCAGAGGUUGUGCGAUGAUCUCAGAGGUUGUGCAAUGACAUCAUGCAUUAUUAUUAUCAUAUACAUUGCACAUACUUUAUUUUAUUUAUGUUGUGUUGUAUUGUCAUAUUGACUUGUCAUCUAUGUAUUUGUCUUACCUUCCUUUACUUGUAUUUGAUGAUCUUGUAUCUACAUGAUCUCCCUUGUUCUACUUAUAUUUGACGUAAUGCAUUCUUAUGUUCUAUUUUGGUGUGUUGCUAUAUUAUAUGUGGUAUAUUAGAACCGUUAAUGCAAGCGGUGUGGGCUACAUUGUGGGAUAUUUUCUGAUUGCAGGUGACGUGCUCUGAGUGUGUAUUUUGUAUGCAUUUUUUUUACUUUGCUCGGUCAUCCUACGAUACCUAUUUAGUACAAGUGGACCGUACUCACUCCUAUUUUUCCCAUUCGGUGUAGCUUUAGGUUUGGGUGUGCCUCAGAAUGAUUGAUUUUGGGUGCCUUCAGAUUUCUCAAGGUAGCAGUGGGACGUUCAUAUGUCUGGAGUUCACCUCUAUCUUUCUGUACUAGUUAUGUCUUUAUUAGUGUUCAGAGAUAAAUAUUUUCCUUUGUAGUUAUUUUUCUAAUAUAUUUAACUUUGGAAUUGUAUUAGUAGUUCUUAUUCUUUGACACCAGGUUUUGGGAGUUAUGGUUGCACGUGUUGAUUUUAUUCUUUUCACUUUUAUUAUAUCUAUGUAGUUCGGCUUCGUUUUAGAAGCCUUACCUUGGGGGUAUUUUUGUAUUUUCCCCAUUUGUAUCAGUUUAGGUGAUAAACUUACUUGUUAAGGUUUGCCGCGAUAAGUGCCACCAUAACCCUUGUGUUUUUGGGUCGUGAAAAAUUGGUAUCAGAGCAGCCAGGUUUCAUUGGUCUUAAUAGUGUAAGAACGAGAUGUCUAAUAGAGUCUUGCACAUUGGUAUGUAGACAUUCGUAUCUAUCUUCGAGAGGCUAUAGGACAUCGUUAGGAAACUUCCCUUAUGUUAUUCUCAUCUUACGAAAUUCUUUCAUUCCUUGUGUUCUGAGUUGUGUUUCACUCCUUCUUUGAAGAUAGUGUUACUUAUAUGGCCUAUUAGUUGAGAGAUAUUGCUAGAGUUUGGAAGAGGUUGCUUGUGAGUUGUAGACCUCGUGAUUCUCCUAAGAAGACUUGGGAUUAGUUAGUUGAAGCUUUGCUAGAGAUAUUUGAGCCUUUUAAUUUGACAGAUCGCAUGCACGACAAAUUUGAUCAUUUUGAGCAGGCUUUAUAACAGUUUCUGAGUAUAAGGCACGCUUCCAUGCUCUAUCCAAAUAGUCCUACGAUAGCAUUUUCAAUAAUUCAGAGAAGAUUUAAAAGUUUGUGAAGGGUUGGAAUGUCUUUCUUUAGUUGGAUACAUCUCAGAUGGUUGUGCUUGGGGCUUUUUUUUAGAGUAUUGUGGAUCAUGCUAAGAUGACAGAGGGUAUUCUUGGAGCAUCUCAGGGAGGUGCCAAAAAGGUGUGCCGCUGUGGUGAAUUUAGGAGUCAGACCUCUUGAUACGGAGAUUUUAGAUACUCUCUUGGAUACCAUGGUAGGGAAGUCCAGGCGGCUUUACAAAGUUCAGGUGGUGAAUCUUCUAGUUCAGUAGUUCAAGGUGGCCAUUCGGGACUAUUUGCACCUUCUCUUGUUGAGACUGGUCAUAGAGGUUGCUAUAUGCAUGAUGGAUUGGCCAUGUCACCAAGGGCUACCCCAGCCGAGUGGUUCGGGAUAUUUUUAUCCCAGUUGUGAGGUGUAGGGGUGCUACCAAAGGUGCAAGGGCCAGAGGUAGUGGAGCUGAUGGGGAUGGACGUAGGGCCACCCAGAUAGUUGGUGGUCGUGGGAUUAUUCAGCCAGUUGGUGGCCGUGGUUAGUGUUAUUCUAUACUCGCCAAGCCAGAGGCGGAAACGGCUUAUUCUAAGAUCACAAGUAUCAUCCCCAUUUGUUUUACGUCUACAUAUGUGUUAUUUGAUCUCGGAUUGACUUUAUCCUUUGUGUCUGUGUAUUUUUCUCUGAGUUUUUAUUCUAUUAGUGAGCCUCUUGCCAUGCCUAUUUGUGUAUCUACUCUAGUAGGUGAUUCUUUAGUGGUGGAUUGGAUGCACCGAUCUUGUGUUGUGACUUUUAUCGAGCAUGAGACUUUAGUAGACUUUCUUGUGUUAGAUAUGGUCAAUUUUUGUGUUAUUUUAGUCAUGGAUUGGUUGGCUCCUUAUCAUUCUAUCAUAGAUUAUUUUGCUAAGGCUGUGACUUUAGCUUCGCCUGGUGUGCCAAAGAUAGCCUGAAAGGGUGCACUUCAUUCGGGUCCUAAUAGAUUAUAUCUUAUGUUCAGGGUCGUAAAAUGGUUGAGAGGAGAUAUUUAUCUUACUUGGAUCAUAUUCGCGACACCAGUAUUAUUUUGCCUUUUUUUGGAUUUUUUUGUGUUGUUCGUGAGUUUAUGGAUGUGUUUCCUAUGGCUUUGACCAGUAUGCCUCUGAAUUGUGAUAUUGAUUUUGUUAUCGAUGUUGAGCCAGACACCAAGCCCAUUUCCAUUCCUUCUUUUAGGUUAGCCCCAAUUGAGUUGAAGAGAUUGAAGGAUUAGUUGAAGGAGUUGUUGGAUAAGGGGUUUAUCUGACCUAGUGUAUCGCCUUGGGGUGCGCCUAUCUUGUUUGUAAAGUAGAAGGAUAGGUCUACGUGUAUGUAUAUUAAUUAUCAACAGUUGAACAAGGUGACUAUUAUAAAUAAGUAUCCUCUUAUGCAUUGAUGAUUUAUUUAAUCAGCUUCAAGGUGUUGCGGUGUUUUUGAAGAUUAAUUUGAGGUCUGGCUAUCACCAGUUGAGGAUUAGAGAUUCGGAUGUUCCGAAGAUAGCUUUUCGAACUCAAUAUGCUCAUUGCAACUUCUUGAUCAUUGUCCCUUGGGUUGACCAAUGCCCCUAUCGCAUUCAUGGAGUUGAUGAAUCGGGUGUUUCGACUUCUUUAUUAUUGAAUUUAUAGAUGAUAUCUUGAUGUAUUCCAAGAGUGAGACUGGGCAUGAGGAGUAUUUACGAAUUUUGCUUCAGAGAUUGAGGGAAUGAGAAGUUGUAUAGUAAGUUCUACAAGUGUGAGUUUUGGUUGGAGUCUAUAUCUUUCUUGCGUUAUAUAGUGACUAAGUUAGGUAUCAUGGUUUAUCUAGCCAAGGUUGUAGAAGUUCGUGAUUGGUCUAGACCUACUUUGCCCAUCGAGAUUCAGAGUUUUGUUGGCUUGGCAAGUUAUUAUCGACGUUUGUUGAGGGUUUCUCUUUUAUUACAGCUCCUUUGACUAAGUUGACUUAAAGAAAGAUUUUCUUUCGGUGGUCUGAUGCUUGUGAGGUGAGCUUUCAAAAGCUUAAGGAUUUGUUGACUUCAGCUCUUAUCUUGACUUUGCCCAGGAAGGGCGUCGGUUUUACACCCUUUUGUGAUGCUUGAGGUGUUGCAUUAGGUGUUGUGUUGAAGUAGAAGGGCAAAAUGAUUGCUUAUGUGUCUUAUUAGUUGAAGCCUUAUGAAAGGAAUUAUCCAACCCAUGAUUUAGAGCUAUGCUCAGUUGUGUUUGUCUUGAAGUUAUGGAGAAACUACUUGUAUAGAGUCUAUUGUAAGAUGUUUUAAUACCAUCAUAACCUUAAGUACUUCUUCGUUCAGUGAGAUCUUAAUAUGAGGCUCUGUCUAUGGCUUGAGUUUCUUAAGGAUUAUGACUUGACUAUUAUCUACCAUCUGGGUAAAGCUAAUCUGGUUGCAGAUGCCUUGAGCCGAAAGUCUACUAGCAUGGCUAGCUAGGCGUAUCUUUUGAAACAUGUGAGGACUUUAGCCUUAGAGGUUCAAUCUUUAGCUAACUAGAUGGUUAGGCUUGAUAUUUUGACACUUGAGUGUGUUUUGGAUUUUGUGGAGGUUAGAUCUUCUUUGAUAGAGCAGAUUAGAGCUCAUCAAUUUGAUGAUGUUGGAUUGAGGUUGAUUCGAGAUAAGGUGUUGAAUGGGGAGGCUAAGGAAGCCUCACCUGAUUUAGAUAGAGUUUUGAGGAUUGGGGCCGAGUUUGUAUGCCGUGCAUGGGUGAUUGGAUUAAGUUGAUCUUGGAGAAGGCCCAUUGUUUCAGAUAUUCCAUCCUUCCAGGUGUGACCAAGAUGUAUCAUGAUUUGAGAUAGCUCUAAUGGUGGGGUGGUAUGAGGCAAGAUAUCAUGGAUUUUAUGGCUCGUUACCUAUGUUAUCAGCAGGUGAAAGCCGAUCAUAUGAGACCUAGUGGAUUGCUUCAGAGGUUACCCAUUCCUGAGUGGAAGUGGGAACAGAUCAUCAAGGACUUUGUGAAUGGUUUACUUUAUACAUUUCAUAGUUCUGAUAGUGUUUGGGUCAUCGAGGAUUGAUUGAUCAAGUCGGCUCAUUUUAUUUUGGUCCAGGUCUCAUUGAGUGUUGAGAGGUUGGCUCGUAUCUACAUUCGUGAGAUUACGCAUCUUCAUGGAAUACUGGUGUUCAUUAUUUUAGAUUGAGGUCAUGUGUUCACAUCUCACUUUUGGAAGAAUUCUCAGGAUGAGUUUGGUACUCGGGUAGAUCUCAAUACCAUGUUUUACCCCCAGACUGAUGGCCAAUCGGAGUGGACUAUCCAGGUUUUGGAGGACAUGUUUCGCGCUUACAUGAUGGAUUUUGGUGGCCAGUAGGAUCAAUAUUUGUCUUUAGCAAAGUUUGUAUAUAAUAAUAGCUACCAUUCUAAUAUUGAUAUGGUUUCUUUUGAGGCAUUCUAUGAUAGGCGUUGUCGCUCCCCAAUGGGUUGGUUUGAUGUUUCAAAGGUGCAACCUCAAGGUACAAACUUGUUUCGUGAGUCCUUGGAUAGAGUCUAGUCAUUCAGGAUAGACUUUGAGCUGAUCAGAGUAGGCAGAAGUGCUAUACUGAUCGUAGGCUUCGUGCCUUGAGAAUUGGUAUUGGUGAUUGUGUUUUCCUUCGAGUUUCACCCAUGAAAGGUGUGAUGAGGUUUGGGAAGAGGCGCAAGCUUAGCCCUAGGUAUAUCGGCCCAUUUAAGAUUCUUCGAACUUUUGGUGAUGUGACUUAUGAGUUAGCUUUGCCCCCUAAUCUAUCAGUUGUUCAUCCAGUUUUCAUGUAUCUAUGCUGCAUCACUACAUUCUUGAUGAGUCUCAUGUCAUUCGUUGGGACUUGGUUCAGUUAGAUGAGUGGUUGUCCUUUGUUGAGAAGCCGUUCUCCAUUUUGACUAGGGAUGUUAGGCGUUUGCACUCUACAGUUAUCCGUGUGGUUAAGGUUCAGUGGCAACAUUAACCUGUAGAUGAAGCUACUUGGAAGGUCGAUUCUAAUAUGCAUAGUUCUUAUCCCCAACUCUUCGUUGAUUCAGGUAUUUAUUUGUCUUAGUUUGAGGUUGAACUAGAUUUUUAGUGGUGGAUGACGUAACGACUUAAAAAUUUGAUAAAACUUAUGAUUUUAUGUGAUUUUACUGUUUUAUCCCUCUCCAUAGUUGCUUUAUGGUAUUUCUGGGGUGUGGGAGUGAUUGACACAAUUUUUGAUGCAUUUUGGUAUUAUUUAUGCGAUAUUUUUAUUUUUUAUGGCUUCGAGAGCCUUAUUUUGGACUUAUGUGGAUAUAUUUUGAUUCGUGUGAUGGACGGUUGAAUGGACUACGUCAGUAGCUCUGAAAUAUCAAUUUUAGGCUAGGUAAAUCUUUAGUUCCGAUCCUGAUGCAUCCGAGCUUAUUUUGACCUGUUAGUCAGAAAGUUGAAAAAUUAAAAAUAUGGGUAUAAAACCCAUUUUUAUCCAAACGAUCUCAGAUGGAAAAUCCAACAUCGCCAGCGAAUCCAACAUAACAAUUUUAGGGUGGUAACAUUCUUGGUGUGAUUUACGGCUUUUAGAUCUCAUUUCGACCCUCGGUUUGAGAAAAUGUGAUUUUGGGUUUUGGAGUCAUUUUGUGAAAACGACGUUUUCCAAAAAUCUGAUAUUUUCAUCGAGUUUGAAGCAUCAAAUUUAGUGUGAUGACAUAGUUCAUUUGUGUAUAUCGGACUCCAAAUGAAUUUCAGUCGCUCAAUCGAAGUCCGAGUUGGACUUAAAGAAAGAAAAAUUGGUGCAUAACAGUUUUUUGGUAUAAAAACAACUUUUCUCCUCUUUUUUGCUUAUUUUGCUCAUUUUUCAUCUUACCUCUUGAGAAUUAAACUCUAAAAUAGUGUGAGGGCUUAAAAGUGAAGAUCUUUGGAGCUUGGGAAGCUAGAUUAACAACUAUCUCUUGAUUCUAUUACGAAUUUAAGGUAAGAAUUUACCCUUUUUUAGUAAUUUUUUUGAUUAAUUUCUCAAAAUUUUAAAAAUCUUAAGGCUUGAUUUUAAAUCUCAAUUUCACUCUUUUUCACUUGAGUAAUGUUUUUAUCCUAUAACUACUAGUUUUUCAUCAAUUUAACCUCCAAAACAACUUCCAGUCCUGAUUUUAAUCCAAAUUUUUAAGAUUUUACUCGGUAAAUCUUAAAAAUAAUUUUUCUUCGAUUUGAACCUCAUUUUUUACUCGCUUUGACUUGGAUUUUCAGAUGUAGAUUUCUAAAAAUAUGGAGAACACAUUAUUGGAGUUAAGUUAUGAUUUUGCACUUCUUUUUUGAAAACCCAUUUUGAGGGUCCGUUUUGACCCCGAACAAAAAAUAGUUAAUUUUGUUUUGACGUGUAGAUUUCAUAUUUAAUAUUUUUAGUGAAGUUUGAGAUCAUUCAUGAAAAUUAAGGUUAUGGGGUACAAAGUGUAGAGGAUCGGUUUCAACUUUUGAGGUAGGUUAUGGCUUAACUCUUUCAGACAGGGUUGGGUAGUAAAUGAUGGUACAAAAUGCAUGUUAAGGGUGGGGACUAAUCAUGAAAAAUGACUAUCUAUGUGUUGUGCUUGUGUAGGGGCCUAUAUGUAAUGUAACUGUAGAAAUUGAGAUAUUAUGUGAUGUGUGUGACUGUGUGGGGUCCUAUGUGAUGUUGAUAGCCCCGAAUACAUCUAAAUAAUUGUAUUGUGUUGUUGAAAUGACUAACGUGAUACCAUUGGUGUAUUGUAAUAUAUUCAUACUUGUUGGUAUAUGAGACGUGUGGAAAUUCAUGGAUGAAAUGGAAAUAAUGAGUGGAUAUUGGCUGACAUGGUUGUGGAAAUAUAUCAUUGUGGUGGAUUGUGGAAAUAUAUCAUGUGGUUGGUUGUGAAAAUACUCAUUAGGAUUAGUUGUGAGCAUUACAUCCUCAUAUCAUACUCAUUCAUGAAACAUUAGUACCACCAUGGCAACACUUGAGUAACACUGACAACACCUUUUUAAAACCAUCCUUAAGGGAUGUGCCGGGGAGGAGAUAUUAUAACACCUUAUAAAACCCUUUUCGAAGAAUGUGCCAAAAGGAUAUAUGAGAUAUGUGGAUUGUAUAUGGGUUGACGAACCCCCCAUUGGUCCUACGUCAAAAGUUUUAGCUCCGUAAGUGCAUAAAAAGAUUGUGUGAUGAUCUCGAAAGUUGUGCGACUACAUCAUCAUCAUUAUCAUAUACAUUGCACUUAAUUUAUUGUGUUUAUGUUGUAUUUUCAUAUUGACUUGUCAUCUAUGUAUUUGUCUUACCUUUCUUUACUUGAAUUUGAUGAUCUUGUGUGUCUACUUGUUCUCUCUUGUUCUACUUAUAUAUGACAUCAUACAUACUUGUGUUUUAUCUUAUUGUGUUGUUGUAAUAUAUGUGAUAUAUUAAAACUGUUAGUGCAAGAGGUAGGGGCUACCAUUGUGGGACAUUUUUUGAUUGCAGGUGACGUGCUCUUAGUGUCUAUUUUGUAUGCAUUAUUUCUACUUUGCUCGGUCGGCCUAUGAUACCUAGUUAGUACAAGUAGAUCGUACUCACUCCUACUUCACCUUUUCGGUGCAACUUUAGGUUUGAGUGCUCCUCAGACUGAUUGAUUUCUGGCACCUUCAGAUUUCUCAAGGUAGCGGUUUGACAUUCAUACAUCCAGAGUUCUCCUCUAUCUUUCUGUACUAGUUAUGUCUUUAUUAGUGUUCUGAGACAUAUAUUUUUUUGUGGUUAUUUUUCUGAUGUAUUUGACUCGGAAAUUGUAUUAGUAGUUCCUAUAUUGUUGACACCAGAUUUUGGGAGUUAUGACUACAUGUGUUGAUUUUAUUCUUUUUGGUUUUAUUAUAUCUGUGUGGUUCGACUUUGUUCUAGAAGCCUUAUCCUGGGGGUAUUUUUGUCUUUUUACCAUUGUGUAUCAGUUUAGGUGAUAGGCUUACUUGUCAAGGUUUGCCGCAAUAAGUGUCAUCAAGAUCCUUGUAUUUUGGGUUGUGACAUAAACAAACUUGUCAAUAAAUUAAAUUGAUAAAAAUGUUAUUGUUUAUUGUUAUUCUAACACACAUAUACAUAUACACAUACUUAUUAGUAUAUAUUUAUCUUAAUGUCUAUAUAGUUUCAACAAAACUAUCCUAUUUACUGACAACCUUUUCAAGUUUGUUGAUUUUUAAAUUAUAAUACAUCAUCUAGGAUUUUGGUUAAAACUAAGAUUCAGUUUUUUUAUGUAAGUUAACACUAUAUUAUUUAUGAAUAUUUUAUUAUUAAUGAUAUGAUAAUCGUGACGUUAAGGGUUAAAAAUCAAUAAAUUUAAAAUCAAAAAAAUAUCUUAUUAAUAUGAUUAUUGAUUUAGCAUAUUUAAAAAUCAAAAGUGAUUAAACUUAACAAGCGUUCAUAAAGUUGAACCGAAUCGACUGAUAUGUAUCUCUAGGUGCAUGCAGGUCCAAGCGAUAUGGUACCAUUAAUAAUUGUAAUAAAAUACAAUAUAAUUUUUAUUUCUUUAAAUGAUUGAAUUUAUUAAAUAAAACUAUGGUCCAAACUAACUAAAAAGAUCCAACCCCAUAAAUAGCAGCCCAAACUUUAUAAAAAUGAAGAUAUCCAUUACAUAACAACCCAUGUUAAAAGAAAGAAAACUAAGUAAAAGUAUAUGGAUGAAUCUAGAAUAGGAAAAAAUUAGAGUAUCAACAUUUGUUGUCUGAAAAAGUCCAAUUCCUAUUCACUUCCAUUUUUGGUGUUUGUUUAUAUUGUUGAUAAAAAUGAAAGAUUCUUCUUGUUCGUGUUAAUUUCUAUACCAAUUUAAAGUAAAUUCUUCUCUUUCCUUAAAUAUUUAGAGUUAUACGAUCCCUCUUUCGACUUUUCUCAUUUCGUGCUUUAACUUCAUUUUUAUGAAUUUUAUUUUUAACAUCCUUAAUCUUCUCAGUUAAUUGUACCAAAACUUCACCAUUAUCAUGAAAAAUGGGUUAGAGUGAGAAAGUCCUCCCUCUCUUUUCUCCCAUCUUUCCCCUUUUUCUUCUAAGCAACCAUGUUCACUUCUUCACACUAUUACUCCUAACGACCUACUAAAUCUCUCCCUUUUGAAGAAAGGGAAACCAUUCUAUAAAGACAUAACCUCAUUUUCUUUUACUACUUUCACCCUUCCCUCUGAUAUUACCCUUGAAGAAACUUCUGAUGAGCAGCCGAUUGGUGACUCAAUUGAUCUCUCUUCUGAGGAUAAACAAUGCCUUUAUGCCCCCUGGCGGUUCUCAGCUAUUAUUAAACCUUUAAGAAAAAGUUCUCCCAACCUUACCUUAAGGCAAAAUUGGAAUCCCUUUGGAAGCCGUUAGAGCCGCUCUGCUUAAUUGAUCUGGAUAUGAAUUUCUUCACGAUAAAAUUCACAAAUCCAGAAAGCCAAGCUAAGGCAUUACAAGGUGGCCCCUUGUUCAUUGCUGAGAGUUUUCUCUCUAUUCAAAAAUGGGAACCAAACUUCAUCCCCAGCCUUACUCAAAUCAAAUCUACAACUGUCUGGAUUCACCUUCCAUAGCUCUCGAUAGAAUUUUACGAUGCCCUCAUCUUGGAAAGAGUAGGGAGGAAAAUUGGGAGACUUCUCAAAGUAGAUGUGUGUACAUCAGCAAAUGUGUGUGGUCGGUAUGCCCGAAUCUGUGUUCAGGUAAGCCUAGAUAAGCCAGUGAGGAUCUCCAUCAUUAUUGGUGGACACAAGCAAUCCAUCAUGUAUGAAGGUGAUGGAAUUCUUUGUAUGUCCCACAGCAUCCUGGGGCACACCUCUCCUUCUUGCCCAUCAAUGGAGAAGUUGCCCUCCGCUUCGGGAUCAGAACCUUCCCCCACCCCUGCGGUUACUCUGAAGAAACCGUUGGAUAUAUGGCAGACGGUGUCUUUCACAAGGCGAAGGAGCCCACCAAAAGCUUCCAACUCCCGGGUAAUAGGCCUAGUGGACUUCAAAUGUAAAAACCCUUCAGCGGGAUGAGGUAAGUUCUCUGGUCCCUCCUCUUCCAAACUAUCCCUAAUCGGAGCUUCUAGCGACGGUAGUGGGGGGUACCCUAGUUGCCUUCUCUUCUGGGCCUAACUCGGGUAAGGCUCUCCCCCCUCCCCCGACCCAUCUCUCCUGCUGGGUCCAACACAGAGAGGCCCAACGUAUGGGAGUCUUUGACAUCCACUUCUGUCCUUGGGUCGGCCCAUACUCACCCUUCUUUUACUAAUUCUUUGGGCCCUCCUCUUCUUGAACCCAUUAUCCCAAAGCUAUCGGGUUUCCCCUUAGGCCCAAACACAAAUUCUCUUAACUCCCACAACUUCUUAAAAAAUAAUAAUGUUAUUUUUUCCCUUAUUAUUCAAAAUAAAAAAAUGAGCUGCUCAUUGGGACCCACUGAUACCACAUCAGCUUAGUUUCCUCUGAGCUCAAGUCUACUAAUUGCAGCAUUUCGUAAAAGGACUCUUCCUCUUUCCUGAGUGAUUUGAUGGAAAUCAAUCCCCAUACAGAUAAUGCAGUUGAUGCUAUUAAAAAUUUUAAGGGUGAAACUCUCCAUCUCCCUCAUUUACAUACUCCCACUUCUGCUCUUAUGGACUCUAUUCUUCAAACCUCCUCUCAGCAUAAUGAGCUCCUCAAUUCCAUUAAGCAUGACCACCCUAGUCUCGGAGCCUCUUUUAGUGGAUCAUCUACCAUCCUCGUUGCUAGAGAUUUGCCUCUCUAAUAGGUCAGUCCCUCUGUAUAUCCUAUGGGGGGAAAGGUUAAUGACUCUCUACAUUAAAGACUCUCGAUACCUGGCAUUGUUAACCAUGGAAUACUUAAGCCAGGAUCUCCAAAGUUAUCAGUAGAAUGUUUUGAUAUUCACACUGAUCCAUAUGAUUAGUUCCUCCUUCCAGGAGGAUAUCACCCCUUGGAGUCUAUCAGAGCUGAUGAAUCAAGUCAGCUCAAGUCUAUUCUUCUCCCCACCCCCCCCACCCCCCAAAAAACCCCCCUCCUCCUCCAAACCCUGUUAUGCUAGCUCAGGGUCCUCUUUUUAUGAAUUCAUAUGGGGAAAAUCAACUUUUUUUGAGCUUACCCUCAGCCUCAGCUACUCAACCCUCCUCCCUCUUUCAAGAAAUAUUAGAAAGAAAGAAAACUUUGGAAGCACUGAGAGAGAGCAAUAGGGAGAUUGAGUAUAUUCUUUCCCAGAUGAGAAUCCCAAAAACAUAUGUGCUCACUCUGGUAAAUUCUAUAAAUCUAGAAUUUUUCGACCUCAUUCAUGAGAUGGUCAUUGUCCUCUUGCCUCAAAAGCUGACAAAGCUAGGGAUCACUAUAAAUAUCUCAAGCCUUACUCUAGAGGAGCACUUCACUCCAAACAUCACUCCUCUCCAAGAAGAGGAAGGCUCAGGAAAUUAUAAGCUCUUCCAAUCCUCUGGAGAAGGGCAAAGCAGUGAUGACAUCAAUCCCCCAUCCCCUCAACCAAAUGAUGAAAAAUUACAUUGUAUGGAAUGUUAAGGGCAAAUAAUGCUGAGUUUAGAAAGCAUUAUAAGUCUGUUAUAUGGACUCAUCAGCCUUCCAUGUUAGCUCUUUUAGAAAUUAGAAUAUCGAACCAUAAGAGUCUUAUAGAAGAUCUUAGUUUCCAAUGCUAUCUUCAGUCUAGUGUUAUUGGUAAUUCUAUAGGCAUAGUGCUUAUGUGGAAAGAUGAUACCUUCGCUAUUUUUGAGAUUUCCAUCAGUCCUCAGGCCAUCCAUGUUACUGUCAAGGUUAGUACCCUUUCUUUUAUUUGGGCUUUUAGUGUGAUUUAUGCUAGUACUAAUUUUAAUAUGAGAAAGCUUCUUUGGGACCAUCAUUGACCUCCUUUGGAGGUCUUAGUUUGUUGGUGGGUGGAGAGGGGACUUUAAUGUGCUUCUUAGAGAUUCUAAAAAAAUUAGGAAUAAUGGACUGAAUCUCCACAGAUCCUCUCUUUUUUGGGAUUACAUUAAUCCCUGUAUGCUCAUAGAUCUAAGCUACAAAGGUAGUAAGUUUACUUGGUCCAACAUGAGAUAUAGGAGUAGAAAUAGCUGGAUCCUUGAGAGGCUAGAUUGGUUCCUGGCUAAGACCUUUGGUUAUACUCCUUUUUUAAGGCCUCUAUUUUGCAUAUGCCCAAAACUUAUUCUAAUCACUCCCCUCUGCUCCUCCAGUUUCAAUAUCAUCACUACAUUCCGUACAAUCCCUUCAGGGUUGAGUCUAUAUGGUGCACCCAUGGGGAGUUCAAAUCUCUGGUCACUACCUCUUUCAUGCCUGGGUCUGAACUUACUAGGGAUACCUUAGAUUUUGAGCCCAUAUCCAAAGCUUGGAACAAGGAAAUAUUUGGUAACAUUUUUCAAAAGAAAAAGCACAUUCUUGCUAGAUUGGAAGGAAUCCAAAAAUCCCCUGACUAUCCUUUUAGUGCCUUCCUCCAUAAUCUUGAGCAUCAACUCUUGGGAGACUUUAACACUAUUCCUGAUCAGGAGAAUGAAUUCAGGAAAUUGAAAUCUAGAAUUUCAUGGCUUUUAGAUGGGAUAGAAAUACUAAGUUCUUCCAUACCUUUACUAUUGAUAGGGGGAGAAUGAACUCUAUUACUUCUCUUCAAGUAGAUGGUAAUUGGAUAUAUGACCCUGUGCAUAUUAGUUAUGCUAACAUAGAUUUUUACACCUCACUUUACACCACUGAUCAGCAUCACUCUAGCUUAAUCUGUCAAGCAAAUCCCUCCUCCUCGGGCUCUAUCCUAUCCUCAGAUCAUCCUCCUCUUGACUUUAUUUUUAACUUAGAGGAGAUUAGGAAAAUUGUGUUCUCUUUCAAACCUUUCAAGGCCCGGGACCUGAUAGGAUGCAUCCCUUUAUGUAUCAAAAAUAUUGAGAUAUCAUGGCUCUCCUCCUCUUGUAAUUCUGCUCUGACAUAUUUUCCACCAUCUCUGUGGAUAGCAGAGUUAACCAUACCUACAUUUUCCUCAUCUCCAAGUAUAGAAAUGCCUCUUUUCUUAAUAAUUUGAGACUCGUAAGCCUCUGUAAUACCCAAUAUAAGAUUAUUACUAAGAUCAUGUCCAAUAGGAAUAAACCCUUCCUUCAGUCCAUCAUUAGGCAUUCUCAAGCAAGCUUCUUCUCAAAUAGGAGAGUUGCUGAUCAUACUAUUAUUAUUCAGGAAUACUUUAAUCAUUUCAAUAAAAUGUCUAGUAGAAAGGGUUAUAUGUUUCUCAAAAUAGACCUUGAAAAGGCUUUUAAUAGGAUAGAAUAGUUUUUCAUCAGACAAGCGCUGGUUUUUUUAACUUACCUUCUAAGCUCUCUAAUCUUAUUAUGUCCUGUAUUUCUUCUACUUCCAUUUUGUACUAGUGAAUGGUAGUGUGAAUCCUAGAUUUAAACCAACUAGGGGAUCAUUCAAGGGGAACCUAUAUUCUCCUACCUUUUUAUUCUAUGCAUGGAACUCCUCUCCAGGAGAAUUAACCAUGAAGUCGAUAUUCUCAACUGAACCCCUAUCUCCAUAUGCAAAAGAGGGCCUCCUAUUUUUCACUUUUUUUGCAGAUAAUUUCACCCUUUUUGCUAUAGCUGAUAGGCUCAAUUGUUAUACUAUUAACAAGACUCUUCAAAUUUUUAGUCUUCACUCGGGUCAAAAGGUGAAUCUUGCCAAGUCUAAGGUUCUUUUUUUCAGAAAUUGUAGCUCUUCCACUAAGUAUAAUCUCUCCGCCUUACUUAGCAUGAAUCCUAGCAACAACUUUGGGAGAUACCUGGGUUUUCCCAUGUUCCAAUCCACCCCUUAAACCAAUGACUUUCAGUUCAUCAUUACCAAUAUGAAUAGCAAGUUCACCGAUUGAAAGACUAGGUUUUUUAAUAUGGCUGGCCGCACUACCUUAGCCAAAGUUUCCUUAAGUAGCAUUCACAACCAUGUCAUGUAAUACAUUCUCCUCCCUAGUAAAAUCUAUAAUUUGAUUGAUAGGACCCAAAGAACCUUCAUUUGGGGAACCACAGACUCUAGGAAGAAAAUACACAUGGUCAAUUGGGAUAUCAUUACCAGGACCAAGAAGGAGGGGAGACUAGGCAUGUAGAAAGCUAGAAUUAAGAAUUAUACUCUCCUAUGUAGUUUGUCUUAGAAAAUGCACUUUAACCCUUCCUCUCUCUAGGCUAGAGUCCUCUCUGGCAAGUAUGCUCAUGACUCUGGCUUUCUUAAGCCUUUCUCUUUUAAGACCUGGAGAAACAUUCACAGGAAUUGAAUCCUCUGUAAAGAGGCUGCCCAAUGGAUGGUCCAUAAUGGAUCCAAGGUAAAUUUAUGAAGGGAUAGGUGGGUCCUUAACCUCCCUCUUUUGAACCAAAUCAUUUAGGGCCCUCUUUCUCUUCUCUGCCCUUUUUUCAGGCUCUUCCAUCUCUAGAAUAAUGGGGUGUGGAACCUUGACAUUAUCCUAUUGGACAUUUUCUUUGAUAUCAAGUAUACCAUUCUCCAUACCUUCUUCUCAAAUCUAAAUAUUAUGGCAGAUUCCCCUAUUUAAACCCUAUCUGGCACAGGCUCUUUCUCUUGUAAGAGUGCCUAUUAUUUCCUUCACAAAAUAAUCUCAAGCUCAAUUUCCACAUCUUUCUCUUGGAACUGAUAUGGAAAGUGUGCAUCUUCACCAAACUUAAAUUCUUUCUAUGUUUAAUGAUGCACAACAGCCUUCCCACUAAAGACACCUUAGCUCAUAGAGGAAUUGAUAUCAAUCCCUCCUACAUAAGGUGCACCCAUUCUUUAGAAGACAUCCCUCAUUUUUUUUUUCCUGCAGCUAUAUUGCUUCCCUUUAGAAAGAUCUCAUAUAUCACUAUAUGAGUCCCUUUACCUUUACCCCUCAACUUUUCUCCAAUGAUCUCUGGGCAAGCUCUUGGAAGUGCAUUCAACAUUCCUUCUUUGACAACUUCUUUCCUUAGUAUCCUCUCAUCCCCUACUGCCUUUGGCAUAGCUAGAAAAACAGGAAUAGUAGCCUUCACAACAAUCUAAUCUACCAUUCCAGCUUUAAGGAAGCCUACUCCGAAGCUAGUGAAUUCCAUCAUUUGAGUACUUAUAGAGUUCCCAGCCAGCGUACCUCUAUCUCUAUUUGUUAGAAACCCCCCAUCCUCACUCUAAUAAUCUCAACACGAUAGAGUCUAUUGUGGUAACCCUGGCAAAGGAGGUAUUGGUGGGGUUCUUCGGGACUCUAAUGAGAGUUGGGUUCUAAGAUUUUUCCAGAGUUUUAGUCAUGCUACUAAUAAUCUUAUGGAGGUUUUUGCUUUGUAUAGGGGCGUUGCUUGUUUCCUAUCUCAUAAUCUCUACCCUGUAGAAAUCUGCAUUGACUCCAUGAUAAUUAUUCAAAUGCUGAAAGAAGGAAACCUGUUAUUUAAUUUUAUUCUUGAUGAAUACAGGUUCAUGAUAAGAAGAUUGGGGCACCCAACUAUUUACCAUAGCUACAGAGAACAGAAUCCGGUAGCCGAUGCUUUGGCAAAGGAAAGUCUUCGGCAAACCCAAUAUGAAGCUUGUAAAUUUUUGAACAUUUCUCCUUUUUUGUAGCCCGGGAUGUUUGGGCGGAUAUGUAGGAACUUGCUACACUAGAAAUGUACCUAUGCAUUUUGACUUGGUUGGCAGGACCCAACAGUUUUUGUACUCGAGCCGGAUUAGGCUCAGAAACUUGGUUUUUUACUUUAAUGCAUAUCUUGUUCACCAAAAAAAAAACUUCAACAUUGUCUUCAAUCUCAACUUGCUAAUACUUUAAUUUUUAAGUGAAUAACUAAGCUCAAAUAUGCAUUUUUCAUGAUGAAAUCCAAAUGUGUCUUUGUAUUUUGAUAUUUUUGCUCUAUUACAACGGUCAUUUUAAGUAAAAGUUAUUAUUCACUAAACCUAGAUGGUGAGUUUAAUUAUUUAUUGACAUUAUCUAUGUUUUUCAGCAUUUGUUUGUUGUUUGAAUUGUUUGAAAUUGUUUAUUGUUGGAUAGCAGGCUAGUGAUUGAGAGAUUUUUUAUCUAUGUAUUAUGUCCUUGAUUUUGCGGUCUUAGGAAUGUCCGGUAAGCCCUCUUCUUCCGAAUUUUAUGUUUUCAUUUUCCAAUUGAAACACGCAAAUAACAUCUGAGCUUAAUGCAGCUGAAAAUGUUCAAUAUAUGCUGGAAUGACACACUUAAGUUAUCAAAAAUUACUGUGCAUAAUGAUUCUUCAGGUUUGUCUUGUACCUUUUUAUUGUUGUAUUGAUGGAUUUAUGGCAGAUGUUAUGUUAUUUAUAUCUAAAAUGAUGUAAUGAGCGGUUAUUUGGGGUUGACUUCUUGUUAUUGUGGUGACUGCUAGUGUUUUGAUCAGCUUAUUAAUACUCCAUGUUGAUUUAUUUCUGCAUGUGGUUUUGAUUCUACCCAAAAACCUUGAUUUUGUCAAAAAUGUUUAAUAAGUUAAAUUUAAAUUUAAAACAUUUGUUUAGCAAUUGCCAGAAGUUUACCUUAAUUAAGGAAACUUGCACUUUUUGAGGAAACAUUGAAAAAUAUAGGUAUUCCAGCCAUUUUUUUGUAACUAUCCAUAGCUUGAAUUACUUUACUUCCGUCAUCGUAAUAAUAUUGAUUUUAAAGGGGAUUUAGCAAUAAUAUGUAGGCAACAAAUUGUAGAUGUAAUGGCCACACUAAUGAUUAUGAAUUUAGUUAUGCAGUUUGUCUUCUUUCUUUUCGUCUGUUCAUGAUUCUGAUGAUCAUGUUUAAUUAAACAUCGACGGAUCCUCUGAUGAAGAUUUGUAAAGUAUAGUGAUUUUAUCUGAUCAAACUGAAGUUUACUUAAUUAACACCUCAAUAUCAGAAUUAAAAAAUAUGACGAAAUAGAGGUUUAGAAUAUAAUAUUAUAGAAAAAAUUGUAACACAUUAAAUUAACAAACUGAACAUUAACCAAAUUAUGCAUAAAAAUAAUAUGCUCUAACUGAAUGUUCAAAGUGAAUGACCGAGAAGGUAACUAUACUAUUAAUUAUCUUACAUUUCUACCUAACCUUAUGUUGUUUAUAGUCUCUGUGAGUAUAUUGUUAUUAUUCUCCAAUUAAAUUAGGAUAAAUUUCUUUGAAAACUACAUUUGUUGUUUCAUUUGAAAUUUAUCCAUCCUGAUCAUGUACCAAAAUCAUUAAUCCCUAUCUUCUUGUCACCCAUGAUAUUUACACCAUAAAACUGAUCCUGUGUGAGCAUUGAUUUCUUCAAAUUUAACCCAACAUGAUAUAAACAUUGCCCUUGACUUUUAUUUAUAGUCAUGGCAAAUGAUACAACUAUUGAAAACUGUCUUUUCUGAAAUUUAAAGGAUAAUCUUAAAUCAGAUGGAGUCUUGGUGUGAAAACCUUUUGUCCAAUCAUAUUUUCUAAUAAAACUUUUACCUCGAUAAUCCAAUUUUCAAUUUUAGUGAUGAUUAAUCUUGUUUCAGUAUAAAACCCCAAAGAUUGAUCUAUAUUUCUCAAUAAAAUCACGAGUACAUCAACUUUCAAAAUGAUGGCAUGAGUUGGUAUUCCAGAGCAUAUUAUAGUAUUUAGAAAUUCAGGAGUAUGUACUUAUUCCAAACCUGUAAAUUUAUCUUCUGAAGUGCGUAUUGUAUCGAAACUAAAGAAGGUUGUUCCUUCACUUUGAUUAAGCUAUACCGUAUGCUUAUCGAUUGAUUCUACAUGUCAAGUGUGGGAGCAAGAAUUUCUCUUUUAUGUAGGUAUGUUACAUCACUGCAAUGAAAACAAAAUCUAGAUAUGUGUUGUCCACAAUGGCAAAAAUUGAAUCUUAUUCUUUGUUCUUGCAAUGAAUCUAGACUCAAUUUUGUUUUUUUGUAUAUUUUUUUCAGUUCUCUUAGAGAGUGCAUAUACUUAUGUCAAAAAGUAGGUUGUCUUUAGUUUUUAGAUUAUGUGAAAUGUUUUAUGAAAAAUGCUGAAUUUUAGGAUCUGAAAUAUAUUUGUCAUCUGUCAUGUAGAAAUUAGGAGUUUACCUAAUAAUGGAGCUGAUCUCACAUUUAAAGUUACUGCUUUAUUUAUAUUAUAUCUCAAGUAUUUUUCUGUCCUAUGUCCUUUGCUUCUUUUAGAACCUUUAAAAAGGAUAAAAUGUCCAUGCUUCUUUUAUCUUGUGUUUAGCAAAAAGUACUAAUUUUAUCAAUUGUUGUAGGGGUUACUCUUAAAGAUCCUUACACUGAAGAUCUUAGCCAAGAAGUCAAGAGAUUUAUAUUCUCUAGAAUUCUGAUUUGUAUCAUCAACUUUUCAGAUCUAACAGAUAAAGAUAGUUAAACAGAAUUUCAAUUGAAAUUAUUGCCUUAAAACACAUAUAGGAAUAUGAUUAAAACUACAACAAAUGCCUUGUUGAUGACUUUGUGAAAGUACUGUUCAAAAAAGAAAUAAGCAUGUUGUCAAUGAAAAUGAUGUUAAAAAACUCCGCUUACAUCAUAAAGAAGUUCUGGAUAGAUAAGAAAGGAUGAUAACUAAGUUUGUUGAUAAGUAAAAUAAAAGAAAGGAGUAGUGGUAUUUUAACACCUUUUUAACUAAGAUAAUUUUUAGUGGAGAAUAUAGUGUUCAUCUAGUUUGGAACUCUUAAAAUCACAAGAAAAAUAUGCAUCCUAAAUUAUUUCACUUGACCACUUAAAUGAUAAUUCAGUGGAGGACAAAUAAUACUAACACUGCUUAUAUUCUUCCUUUAAGUAAAGAAAAUAACACGGUGGUGUGCUUGAGUGGAUGGAUCACCUUUUUUUUUUAAACUGGUUACUUGUGGAUGGAUCACCUUUCGUAGUGAAGGUAAAUUUGAUAAAGUGAUGGCUGAUUGACACUGAUACAAGACCAGCCACAAACACACGAUAACAAGAUGAACAACAACACUAGAAAACAUACACAAAGCCGAGAAAACUAAGGAAACAACACAAAGCAAAGAACAAGUUAACAAACACUCAAACUAAUGCAAUAAAGUAAAGAUAGUAACUUGACAUAAGAGACUACAAGUAACAAGAACCUAAGAGUGUAUCAAACUCUAAGAUCCCUAAACUCGUGAUAACAACCAAGCUCUUACGUGAACCUCAAGGGAACCGGAAUCCACACUUUACCACAAGUGAAUCCAUACUUGCAAAAUACACUCAAAGAGUUUAUCUCAAAAUAAUAUUAAAGUUGCUGAAAAUAAACCUAAUAAGAGUUAUUUAUAGUCUUAGGCUAUACUAUUACAUAACGAAAUUCUACACUCCAUAGGCGCCUCUUUGCUCCAAAGCAAUGACAAAAAGUCCCUUAAUGAGGGGCGGCCAUACAGUGUAAUGAGGCUCUUCUUCACACUUCAACACUUGUUCUUUCAGUUAGGCAGCCCCCAAGCUUGAGUCUUUACGUAUUGGCCUCCAAUGAUGUCAUCGAUAGAUAAGAUAGCCAUUUGAUUCGUAUCAGACACAGUUCCUCAAAAGUUUCUCUCUUUGUGGUCUUAUUAUAUGUUUAUUCUCCUUUUUAGACUUGAUUUGGUGAAGCUAUGCAGAAUGAAAAGUCAGAGUGCAAAGUAACUCUCUAUUGUUCGCUCUUCUUCCCCUUUCCCCUUACCAAUCGAUAUCUUCCACCAUCUUUGACGUCUUAUUUGAACAAUGAUGGAGGAUAGAGAUCUGUCCUUUUAAUGUUGAUUUCUUCUCCUCAAUUUGAAAAAAAUUAUUUGAAGUCACCAUCUUCGUCAAGAAAAAACUGCAUUUUCGUUCUACCAUGUACUUCAUUGUACACUUUGUUUCUUAGAGAAGUUUAGUGUCUUUCCUAGAAAAUCAUAUACUUUUAAAGGUUUUUACUUUUUGGCAUAUUUGUUGUAUACAGUAAACAUCACAUUCAUCUUAUUAAUUAUAAAAGAUAUCCUAGUAAUCAUUAAAUCUUGUCAUCUGAAAAGGUGAAAAUAUUCCUACUUCAUACAUUUUAAUUGAAAGUUGUAGUUCUAGAAUAGAUGAUCUUCCUCCAAGAAGUCAGGUUUGUCAAAAUUGAGCAAAUUGAAAAAUGUAAAUAUGUUCGCCACUCUUUUGAACUAUAUUGACUUAUUGCAGCUGGAAAGAGCUGUAGUCAUAGGUGUCCUACAAUUCAAGCAUCGUCUUUGUGUCGCUGCUUUUGUUAAUAAAAAUUAUUUAUCCAAAAAAAAAGUGAAGCUUAUUGAAAAUUCUAGUGGUUUGGAUGGUUGAUGUUAUGGGGUACAUUCAUUCCUUAUUAUUGAGUAGCUUCAACGUUCCUUACAUCAAUAAAUGGAUGCACACAUCAGAUGAUAUUUUAUUUGCUUACUGUCAGUUGUAUAUUUGAUUUGCAUGUAUAACAUUGUCUAGAAAUGUGUAUGGAGCAGUAUAAUAAAUUCAGCUUUGUUUCUUAUACAUAUGUAAUUUUCUAUUAUAGUGUGCCUGCGUUUAUAUCAGACAAUGAGGUGAAUUGUUUUCUUUUUAAUUUUGGAAGGUCCAACUGUGUAACGCUCCAAGAGUACAUCCUGGACGCCACACGGUGCCUACAGCCCCGAAGGACCACAAGCUAAUCCAUGCUGGUACCUGCUGUGAGCACUGAAUAAAAUAACAAAGAACAUGUGUGGAAUUCUACUGAAAACGUCAUAAGGUUUUAUAUACGAAAACAAUACUAAAUCGAAAUACUAAAAACGUUUGUCUGUAAACAUUACUGUAAGACUGUCAAUAACAACUGAUAACUGAAUAACUGACUGAAAGUGUUCGAAAGCCUCUAAGUGACUGUCUGUGGAGUUGAUGGGACAAAUCUCCAACUAACUCUGACUAACUACUGAACUGAACUGAAAUAAACAUAAAUGGUUCUCGAAACAUGAGGACUCACUACUGCUACUGUUGCGGAUACGCUGGGGAGGUCUAGGUGCUAUCGGGAACCUAAGCAUCCGAACUUAUGAUAUGAUACAUCAUAGCGCAAGAAAUGAGUAUACGGUCAGUACUUUGAAUGUACUGAUAUGCUAAAUGAGGUUAGGCUGACGUGCAUGGUUCAUAUGCAUAAAUGAUACUAACUGAACGCAUAGCAUGAGAUAACUGAUGUAUAGUAUGCGAGAAAUGCUGCAAAAUCUGAAAAUGCAUGACCAAGCAUAUGACAUGAUACUGGAAUAGGCUGCAAACUAAAAUACUGAAAUACUAAAAUACUGAAAUACUGAUACUGAACAACUAAUAAUUGUAUGUCAUCGCCAAGCAAGUCUGAAAACUGAACUCUGAACUGAAUACUGGACUGAGACUGUGGGAGCUAUCAUCUAACCGACAUGCCCCAAUAAGGUAAAUUGGGGUCCAACCUGUAACCCCAGUUGGAAAGGUGUCAGUACCGUGUCACGGGUACUAACACUAGCUGCAUGGAUCCACUAAAGAGUUGUCCAGAAGGACUAAGGGUCACCCUCAACUGACAAGGCCCUAAUGAGAUAUGUGUCAACCCUCAACUGGUAGAUUAACAUCUCAACCUACGUUGACUACGUAUUUCUGGAAUGCAGGGACUGCUACUAAAGAUCACACCCUCAACUGGCAGGUGAGCCCCCAUCCCUAGGUUCGCUUGGUGCUAAAUCCUAAUCCCAACUGAACUGACGCAGUUCAAUUGCAGUGAGUCACUGGAAAUAACCAUUGAUGAUUUGCCCUUCACCACGACGCGGUGGCUCCUUCAUCGCUAUACUCAUUGUGACGCAGUCUAAUCACGGUGCUGUUGUCUGAAAAAAUUUAAACGUGGUCCAAACCCUAUCCGAAAAACUCAAAACUUACCUGAGACAUGCUACCUUCACCCCUGAACAUGAACCAACUCAAAAACCAUCAUCUUGGAGUCUGGAAGGUCAACUUAAAAAUUCUCGAAGUUAAAAGGAGUCAAAAGUGACUAAGUCCCUCAACACUUACUCUUAUUUUCAAGUUUUAAGUGUCUUAAGCAAGUACUAGGGGAUGAGCUGAACUAGAAACGUACAGGGUAUUACAAACUGCCGAAAGGAGUAACAACAUCUGUUCAUAAUACUCAAAAUGAGUUUGAAGAGCGAAAGUGAGACUAAAUCCUUUCUUUGCUUCUUUUGAUGAUGAUCUCUCUGCCAACUAAUUAACUGCAUUCUUUCUCUUAUACUAUAACUCUGCAAAGGAGAUUGGUUACUGCUACUAUGUUCACUGGUAUGAUAAAACUUUCAUAAACUACUAAUUGUUAAAAAGAGAAACUUUGAUAAACUCAUAGACAAUAACAUGAGUCUAGUAAGAAAAUUGUAAUUUGGUGUAAAAAUUUACGAUCCGGAGUAUCAUCGUCGAGCUUCAAAGGAAGGAUUUUGGUCUGUGGAAACAGUGACGGAGUCAAGAAUUUAGUAAAGGGUGUGUAAAUUUUCUUUCCAGUUAUAUUAAGAAAGUACAAAAUUAUAUAUUUACUCAUAAUAUCUAAUAUUUAACCUUUGUAGACCACGUAAUUACUCGACGAAGGGUGUUCAUCUGACCACCCUUCGUUUAAGUUGGCUCUGCUCAUGUGUGGAAAUAAAUAUUUUGUAAUGCUUUCCUUCAUCCUUUUUUUGUCCUGUAAGAUGAAAAAUAGAGAAUUAAUUUUUUCUAUGAUGGAGAAGUUUCUGUUUCAUUCCUAAAAGUUUCUAUUUCUGAUUUUUUAAAUGGAUUUCAAUGAAUGUCCGAAGAGUUAAAUUUGAUAAAUUUGAGAGAGGUAACGGUUAGAAAAAAUGCUCUCACUUUUCUAAAGGUUAAGUAAUGCUGCCUAAAUCCCACUCAAAACCUUAACAAAGACUAUUUUGGAUGGACUGAAUUACGACCUCUUUAAGUAUAUGCCACCUGUUUGAAUUAUCUUGAAGUUGAAUAAUGUGUACAAUGAUAGGGCUUUUCGGCUAAUAAGAACAUAUUUGUAGUAUAAUUUUUUGUCAUCUUAGAUUUUCGGUUAAAGUACUAUAACUGAUGUCACUAUGAAUAAUUUGAUAACAACUAUAUUUUUAACAUUGAUUGCUUACAAACAAAGGAAUGGCUUGAUAGGAGGAGGUCAAGUGUUCUUUAAAUUUUGUUGCCCAAAUUUUUGUUUCUUGUUCUCUUAUUUUAUAUGCAGGUUUUUUAGGUUUAACCAAAGAACACCUCCAAAACUAUCAUAUUUCCCUGUAUUUGACAUAGAUUUAGCUGUGAACAAAUUAUUCCACUUUUGCGCGAUUUGAUAUUUUUGGAUGUUGUUGUUUUCUCGGAUCAGGUAUCAUGACAAUAGCACUAUUCUCCCGUUUGGGCUUUGAUUUAUUUGUUUUAUUUUCUUAUUCUAUUUAUUUUCUUUUGUUCUUCUACAAAUACGGAUGGGUGAGGUUUCUUUUACCAGAAGAAUGUUGAGAAGAGGUCUGGUGGAGGGGCAGAGUAUUGCAUUGAUGUUGUCUCUGUUGGCAGGUUCGAGGUUAAGAAAUUAUAGUUGUCAACCUAAUUUAUUUUUUCAAUGUGUAUAAGCACCCGCCACGAUUCUAGCUUGGCCAGCUGGUGUUAGGGACAAUGGACAUCCUCAUCAACUAUGACAGAUUUAUCCUUUUUGGAUGAUAAUUUUUCUUUGUAUACUUCUUCAAAUGAGAUAAAAUGUCACUGUCGUUGGUAGGUUCCUAUAGAAUUUUAAAACAAUUAAAAAUCUUAAAGUUAGAUAAAAAUAUAUAAUUAAAAUCCUUAAUAGUGAUCUAACGAUCAUAUAUUGAUCAGAUAUUUAAAUAAAUUAUAUGUAUUAUAUAUGUAGAUAAGAUGAAGGUAUACGAUUUAAUUACUUUUAAAUCCUUCUCUUCAUAAUAUCCUUGAGAAUUGAUUAUGUCACGAUCCUAUAAACAUAGUUUAGAAAUGAAUAAAUAUUUUUGAAGAAAGUUUACAUACCUUAAAAAUAAAUGAAAUGAGUAUAUAUUUUUGAAGAAAUUUUACAUACGGUGGAGGUAUCAUAUUCAUUAGGAGAAUAUUUCUUGAUCAAAUCCUCAUCAUCUAGAAGCUUAACAAUACUGUACACCUCGUUAAGUGAAAAGUUAAACAUUGGAUGAAAGCAUAAUGAUUAAAAAAAUAAAAUAUAUUGUGAUAAUGAAAAUGCAUCAACAAGAAGAAGAAAGAAAAUACAAGACAUUAAAGCAAUCUUUUACUUUUCAUAACCGAACAAUCAAGACUUUUAACUUCCAAUUCAUUUUUGUGAUUGUUAUGUCGUUGAUGAUUGUUAUGUGAUUAUAUAUCAGUUUAAUCAUAUUUAUCAAUUUGGAAAACAAAAUUUUUAAAAGGUUCUGUAAUAAUGAAUUACUAACAUAUGAAUUUAUUUACAAUUCAAUGCAGAUAGAUAUUGUAUAUGAUAACAUAUGAUUCAAUGGGGAGGUUGCAUCAUGAUCUUCUUUUUUUUUAACUUAAAAUUAUCAACCAACUAUAUAUUCAAACCAAUGUUACUUGAGAAAAUUGAAGGAAAGGUGUCUUUUAAGUCUUGAAUGAAGGAUUGGUAACAUUGACCAAUUUAAAUGGUCAAACAUAAUUAAAAAACUUGAUUAGGUUAAUUGUGAACUUGAUUAAUAUUUUCUAAACUUUUUAAUUUUUUCAAAAAUACAAAUUAACCCAUACCCACAAAACUUUCCUUCCUCUGUAAAUCAAUCUCUCUCUCUUCUCUCUUUCUCUCGAUAGUUUCUCUCUCUAACUUCUCCCAACCAACAACUUUUUAAAUUUCUCCCUUCAAUUUUGUGCAACUUCAAGCACUGGCAACAAAUAGUUUUGAGUUCUUGCCCGUUCCUUUUUGACUUUCAAUCAUCAGUCGACGUGACAACAUUCUCCGGCGACAACAACUUCUAGUUCUUCAUCGUUUCUUUUCGAUUUUCACAAGUAAAAAAUUAGGGCUUUUAAGUUAUGACGAAAAUGAGGAACUUGAUUUGUUGGUGUUUGUUAUUGUUUUUUAUAUUUUUUGUUAAUUUUUUAAUGUUUGUCAUUUUUUAGUUGAAUUUCUCAUCUGGAUGUAUCUGCUACUGUUGUUUUUUAAUAAUGGAUAAAACAUGUAACGUGAAUCCAACAGAUGAGUAUUUGUUGCAACAUAUAUGACUAAUCUGUUGCACAGAUUAGUAAUNNNNNNNNNNNNNNNNNNNNNNNNNNNNNNNNNNNNNNNNNNNNNNNNNNNNNNNNNNNNNNNNNNNNNNNNNNNNNNNNNNNNNNNNNNNUUGCAACAUAUAUGACUAAUUUAUUGCAACAAAUGAGUAAUCUGCUGCAACAUAUAUGAUUAAUCUGUUGCAACAGAUUACUCAUCUGUUGGAUUUAUUUUAUAAUGUUGUAAUAUGAAUCCAACAUAUGGGUCAUCUGUUGCAGCAGAUUAGUUAUAUAUUCCAACAGAUUACUCACUUGUUUCAAUAGAUGACUCAUAUGUUGGACUCAUGUUGCAGGUUCUAUCCAUUGUAGCAGUAGCAGAUACACUAAAUAAAAAAUUCAACAAAAAUUAUAAUUUUACUUACAAAAUAAGCUAUGAAGUAAUGUCCAAGUGGUAUACGAACAAAAUUUGACCUAAAAUUUUUAAAAAUAAUUUUAACAGAAGAACAAUGAAUAGGUAAAACACAUGAAAAAAUUCAUGAAACAGGUAAAGAAGACAAAAAUAAUAUACCAUACAUCAAAUGCAAAAGGAUCAAGGGGACAAACAUUUGAGUUCUCCUAAAAACGUUUAAGUUNNNNNNNNNNNNNNNNNNNNNNNNNNNNNNNNNNNNNNNNNNNNNNNNNNNNNNNNNNNNNNNNNNNNNNNNNNNNNNNNNNNNNNNNNNNNNNNNNNNNNNNNNNNNNNNNNNNNNNNNNNNNNNNNNNNNNNNNNNNNNNNNNNNNNNNNNNNNNNNNNNNNNNNNNNNNNNNNNNNNNNNNNNNNNNNNNNNNNNNNNNNNNNNNNNNNNNNNNNNNNNNNNNNNNNNNNNNNNNNNNNNNNNNNNNNNNNNNNNNNNNNNNNNNNNNNNNNNNNNNNNNNNNNNNNNNNNNNNNNNNNNNNNNNNNNNNNNNNNNNNNNNNNNNNNNNNNNNNNNNNNNNNNNNNNNACAAAUAUUUGUGUUCUCCUAAAAAUAUUUGAGUUCCCUAGUAUUUUAAUUAUUUUCCAACAGAUUAUCUAUUUGUUGCAACAAGUUAGUCAUCUAUUACAACAGAUAUUUAUAACAUGUUAGUCAUUUGUUUAUUCAAAUUAAGCAAUUAUUAAUAAUAACUAAAUUAAUUUAAUUAAAAUUGAAGACAAGUCUUUAAUACAAGACCUUAGACGAGGGGACAAAUGUUUGAGUUCUCCUAAAAAUAUUUGAGCUUUAGUAUUUUAAAUUAUUUUUCAACAUAUAUCGAACUCGGAAUUAAAAUAAGUCACGGAAUUAAAAAAAAGUGACCAAAAUAGGCCACCUAUUUGAAAAGUUACCAAAAUAGGCUAAACGUAAUAAUUUAUUACGUUUUCUACUUUUUUCUUAACGGUCAACUAANNNNNNNNNNNNNNNNNNNNNNNNNNNNNNNNNNNNUUUUUAUUAGUUAAAUUUAUUUAUAUUUUACAUGUAGUUCAAAUAAUUUAUUUUUUCUAAUAAAUUUUUACGUUUUACAUAACAAAAAUUAAAAAAGAAGUAUCAAUUACCUCAUUAACUUAUCAAUUUUCUUAUAUUUAUUCUAUAUCAAAAAAUAAUCACUUCUAUCCUUAAUUAUCCUAUUUUUCUUUUAAAAAAUUAUACUUUCGAGUUUUCCUUUACUCCAAAAUAGUAAAAUGUUGAAUUAUCGUCGAUCAAAUAUGCUACUAUAUACAAGAAUUAUAUUUUUUUUAGGAGUGUUCCUAAAACAAUAUAUUUUCUUAUAUUAAUUUAUGAGUGUUCCUAAAUUAAAUUGUGAUUUUUUACUCCAUGAAUUAUAAUAUGAAACAUAUUUGUGCAUGUUAGUCUCCUCAAUAUCCUACUCGAAACACUAAUCAAAAACUACGAUGAAUCACUAUCCGAAAAAAUUAAUUUCAUACUUUAAACACACCAAAAAAAUAUAAUUAUUGUAAAUAGUAGCAUAUUUGAUCGACGAUAAUUCAACAUUUUACUACUUUGGAGUAGAGAAAAACUCAAAAGUAUAAUUUUUUUUUAGAGAGAAAUCGGAUAAUUAAGGAUAGAAGUGAUUAUUUUUCUAUAUAGAAUAAAUAUAAGAAAAUUGUUAAGUUAAUGAGGUAAUUGAUACUUCUUUUUUAAUUUUUGUUAUGUAAAACGUAAAAAUUUAUUAGAAAAAAUAAAUUAUUUGAACUACAUGUAAAAUAUAAAUAAAUUUAACUAAUAAAAAAUUCAUAAUUAUCAUAUGUAAAAAGAGAAAAAAGUAGAAGUGAUGAGACAUUUGUGAAAAAAGAAAUUGUGGGUGGGGGACCACUGCUAUAAAAAAGUUAAGAACGUAACUUUUUGUUAUGUUGAACAACUCAUUUUUAGUAUCUUUUUAAUUGAUUUGAUAAUUCACUGCAUUUUUUUCCUCGAUUAUCAUGUAAAAUAUAAGAAAUUUUAUGUUUUAUAUUUUUUUUUAUAAAACUUAAGAAUUUUUUACGUUUUAUAAAAAAAUGUAAAAAAAAAAAAGUAAAACCUAAGAAAUUGUAAAAGUCAACUCCGUUAAUUGAUCGUUAAGAAAAAAAAAAAGAAAAUGUAAUAAAUUAUUACGUUUAGCCUGUUUUGAUAACUUUUUAAAUAGGUGACCUAUUUUGGUCACUUUUUAAAUUUUGUGGCUCAUUUGGUCCUGAGUUCACAUAUAUUUUAUCUAUUUAAUAAUUUCCAAUAGAUGAGUCAUAUGUUGCAACAAUUUUGUCAUCUAUUGCAAUAGAUGUCUAUAUUUGUUGGAUAAUUUUCAAUAGAUGAGUUAGCUAUUGCAACAGGUUAGUCAUCUGUUGCAAUAGAUGUCUAUAUAUGUUUGGUCAUUUUCUACAAAUGUCUUUAACUGUUUGGUCUUUUCCAACAGAUUACUCAUCUAUUGCAACAUGUUAAUUGAAAUCGUAAUUGAACUUAUCAAUUCAUCUUUAAUUUUAGUUAAAUCAAUGUUGUUAUUACUAAUAAUAUCUUAAUUGAAUCAUUUCAAAUAAAAUUGGUCAAUUAACACGUUACUCAAGACAAAUACACUUCGAUGAUCAUGUAAUUACUAUGAGACUAAUUGAAAUUGUAAUUAAAUUAUCAAUGCAUCUUUAAUUUUAGUUAAAUCAAUUUAGUUAUUACUAAUAAUUACUUAAUUUUAAUUAUUUAAAAUCAAAUCGGUCAAUUGAUCAUUCUACUUAAGACGAAACACUUAGUUGAUCAUGUAAUUACUAUAAAAUUAAUUGAAAUUGUAAGUGAACUUACUAAUUCAUCUUUAACUUUAGUUAAAUCAAUAUAGUUAUUUCUAAUUAUGGCUUGGUUUGAAUCAUUUCAAAUAAAAUUGGUUAAUUGAUCACUCUACUCAGGACGAACAUACUUAGUUGAUCAUGUAAUUACCAAGAUUAAUUGAAACAGUAAUUGAACUUAUUAAUACUAGUUAAAUCAAUUUAGUUAUUACUAAUAUAAUGGCUUAAUAUGAAUCAAUAGAUGACUAAGAUGUUGCAAAAGAUGAGUAAUCUGUUGAAAAUGACCAAACAGAUAAAGACAUCUGUUGCAACAGAUUAGUCACCUAUUGCAACAGAUUAGUAAUCUGAUGGAAAUAACAAACAGAUAAAGUCAUAUGUUGCAACAAAUUGGUCAUUUGUUGUAAAUGACCAAUAGAUAAAAACAUUUGUCACAACAGAUGACUAAUCUAUUGCAACAUAUGUGUAUAUUCGUUUGAUAAUUUUCAACAAAUGACUCAUCUGUUGCAACAGAUUAAAUCUGUUGCAAUAGGUUAUACACUUAAAUGAUCAUGUAAUUACUAUGAGAUUAAUUGAAAUUGUAAUUAUUAAAUCAAUUUGGCUAUUACUAAUAAUGGCUUAAUUUGAAUCAUUUCAAAUAAAAUUAGUCAAUUGAUCACUNNNNNNNNNNNNNNNNNNNNNNNNNNNNNNNNNNNNNNNNNNNNNNNNNNNNNNNNNNNNNNNNNNNNNNNNNNNNNNNNNNNNNNNNNNNNNNNNNNNNNNNNNNNNNNNNNNNNNNNNNNNNNNNNNNNNNNNNNNNNNNNNNNNNNNNNNNNNNNNNNNNCCCCUUUUUUUUCAUUUACCUAACAUAGUAACAUUUAAUUGUCACUAGCUCAGCUUGCCCAACAGCACCGAAAGUGGAAACUAGAAUUACAAAGAGCAAUUUCAAUUAUCCAUUUCACUCCUUUAAAUUUCAAGCCUUAUUCUGUAUUUCCUAAAUUUCCACAAAAGGCAAACUCCCUGGAAAGUGGAAACUAGAAUUACAAUUUCAAUUCUCCAUUUGACCCCAACAGGUAUAUAUCUCUUCCUUUUAUUUUUUUAUUUUUUUAUUUAACUUUGGAUAAUGUUAAAUUAUAAAUGCUUUUAAUAUUUAUUUGUUGCUUGAAAGUUAGUGUGUAAAAUUUAUUUAUAUUUUUCUUCUUCUUCUAUUUAAGUUUAUGGACUUUGAUUAAAAAUAAAUAAUUAAUUUUAUUUGUAUUCUCGAUGAAUUUUUUAUUUUGUAAGAAUUUGUUAUUGAUUCUUGUGAAUUGAAAAUUUGAAAUGGAUAGAUAUUAUUCUCCUCAAUCAAGUUCUAGUUUUAAAGCCAAUUAUCAUCGCCUUAGCAAAAGUAAAAAAGGGCAAAAAAAGCUUCAAGGUCCAUUAUAUUUAAGCACAAAUUACAAAUAAAGAUUGAGAUUUAACAAAAAUAAGAAUAAAUGAGAAAAAAUAUAAAUAUAUGUCUAGUUCAAGACUAAUAAUAUAAGCAUGAAUGACAAAUAUAUGAACACAGAACUUGUUUUUUAAAUUAAGUGAAAUAUCAAUUGUUUAGUGUUCGUAUCUCCAGAAAAGCCGCAUUGAAAGUAUAUCUUAUAAAUUAGAACCUAAACUGCACAUUAAACGAGGCGAGCAAUCAACACAAAUUUGAGUCUUUAUUCAGAACUUAUGCGCGCCUUUGACAAUACCGGUGUACCCCCAUACUUCAAAUCCUAGGUUCGCCUCUACCUAACAUAGUAACAUUUAAUUGCCACCAGCUCAGCUGGCCCCACAACACCGAAAGUGAAAACUAGAAUUACAAGGAGCAAUUUCAAUUCUCCAUUUGACUCCCCUAAAUUCCAAGCCCUAAUAUGUAUUUCCCAAAUUCCCCCAAAAGCCAAACUCCCUGAAAAGUGGAAACUAGAAUUACAAUUUCAAUUCUCCAUUUGACCCUAAUAGGUAUACAUCUCUUCCUUUUGUUUUUUUAUUUUUUAUUUAACUUUGGAUAAUGUUAAAUCAUAAAUGCUUUCAAUAUUUAUUUGUUGCUUGAAAGUAAGUGUGUAAAAUUUAUUUGUAUUUUUUUCUUGCUUCUAUUUAAGUUUAUGGACUUUGAUUAAAAAUAAAUAAUUAAUUUUAUUUAUAUUCUCAAUGAAUUUUUUAUUUUGUAGGAAUUUGUUAUUGAUUCUUGUGAAUUGAAAAUUUGAAAUGGAUAGAUAUUAUUCUCCUCAACCAAGUUCUAGUUUUAAAGACAAUUCUCAUCGCCUUAGCAAAAGCAAAAAAGGGCAAAAAAAGCUUCAAGGUCCAUUAUAUUUAAGCACAAAUUACUAAUAAAGCAUGAAAUUUAACAAAAAUAAUCAUAAAGGAGAAAAAAUAUAAAUAUAUGUCUAGUUCAAGACUAAUAAUAUAAGCAUGAAUGACAAAUAUAUGAACACAGAAAUUAUUUUUUUUAUUAAGUGAAAUAUCAAUUGUUUAGUGUUCGUAUCUCCAGAAAAGCCUCAUUGAAAGUAAAUCUUAUAAAUUAGAACCUAAAUUGCACAUUAAAUGAGGCAAGCAAUCAACACAAAUUUGAGUCUUUAUUCAGAACAUAUGCGCGCCUUUGACAAUACUGGUGUACCCCCAGACUUCAAAUCAUGGGUUUGCCUCUGAAUGGAAAGGUUAAUCUGCACAUUAAUUCUGAAUGAGUAAAAUUAAAAACAAAUUGUUUUUAGAAAGAUUUUAGAGGAUAAUUAAUAUCUUAUUAUUAACCGUUUACUUUUUUCUAGGGAUGCUUUUUACUUAGGGUGAAAUUCAGAAAUAGCAUACUUAUCCCCUUAAUUAGAGUCAAUUUCUUAUAUUGUCACUCAACUUAGAAAAAUAUCUCACUAAAGUCAUUUAUCUUUUUUUUAUUCCAAUAAUGUCAUUCAAUUUUGUAUAUUUUCCUUACAAACUAAUAAUUGCUAAAAUAGUCCUUAUUCUUUAAGAGAAGAAUAACCAAAAUGGUUCCUUAAGUUAAUUUUGAAUUGGAAUGAUCUAUAUUCUUUAACAACAUGAAAUACUGAUAACUUUUUCACUAUAGAAAAUUGUGCGUAGAAUUUUAAUUUAACUUCUAGUUGUAAUACUAAAAUAAUAUAGUCCACCGAAAAAUGCGAUUGAUAUUGUUAAAAAAACUUAUAUGCACUCUAUUUAUUUGAAAACUUAGGAGUUCAAUGGUAAAAUAAUGUUUUGUAUUAUUCAUUUUAUGAUUAAUCUUUAUUUUUUGAUAAAAUAGUUAAAAUUUAGUUGUUAGUUUCUUCUACUUCAAAAACUAAUGUCAUAAAAUUCAUAAUUCAUAAAAAGACGAUGAAUUCCUUCAAAACCCCUUCCCCCCAAUAUAUAUAUAUAUAUAUAUAUAUAUAUAUAUGCCUCUAGCUAGUAGAAAAAUAAUCAUAUAUAAAUAUUUUAAAGAAUUUAAGGACAUCAUGAUAAUAUCAUAAAUCAUUUAACAUCAAACAAAAUUAGAAAAUUUCAUGUAACCAUUAUGUAAUUUUAAAAUGAAAGUUUUUCAAAUAUUAUUUUUAUCAAUCUUGUGAUACUACCUCAAAAAAAAUUAUAUUAGCUCUUCAACCUGACUCUAAAAACUAAAUACAUCUCUCAAUUUUACCUCUUUUUGUUUUUCAAUAUUAUGAUAUGUCUUUUUAAAUUACAUUACUCCCCAUGUCCUAUUUUAAUUGGUCAUCUUAUUAAAAAUAAAUAAAGUCAAAAUAGAAUUAAUUAAUUUUUUCUCAUGAUAUCCCUACAAUUCAUAGUAUACAUUAUAUGUGAACAGUUCCGGUUUCAAUGUUCAUUCUUAUGACUAAUGAAUAUAAUUAAUAUUGUUAAAGAGUAAAUUAGUAAAAUUUGUCAUUCUAUUUAUGAUUUCUUAAUCACUGUAUAAAAUGAAAUACAGCCAACUAAAAUGGGAUAGAAAGAGUAUGUAAUGAAGUAAAAAACUGAAAUGUAUUUGAAGUUAUAUUAAUAUUUCAUAUAAAAGAAUAAAGACUAUUUAAAUUCACGAUUUAACUUAAGCGGCUAUUUUGACCAUUUUUCUCUCAAAGAGCAAGGAUUAUUGUAGCAAUUGUUAGUUUAUAAGGAAAAUGUACAAAGUUGAAUGACAAUAUUGGAACAAAAAAUUGAUAAGUAACUUUAGUGAGACAUUUCCUUAAGUUGAGUGACAAUAUGAGGAAUUGACUCCCUUAAUUAUGAGUUUCAUAGCAACCGUUUCAUAAUUACAUAAUAUAGCAAGUUGUAUUUUGUACUUUUGUAAACUGUUGCUACAAAAAUACAAAUACAUAUGAUUUUUACUGCCCUUAUGAUCGAUAUGUAUUUUGUAUUUUUGCAAAUUGUUGCUACAAAAAUACAAAUAAAUAUACUACAAAAUGUAAUUUGAUAAAAGUGUUGCUAUUUUUUUGUAAUUUAAUACUUAAGUAUACUACUUUAUGUAUUUUUUUCCUUUUACUUACACACACUAACCAUCAAAAUUUUUAAUCAACCUUACCAAAUUGAUAACAUGUAUAAAGUAGAUUUGCAAUGUGUUUUUUCUGUUAAUUUUUUUAAUCGGAAUUAACAAAAGUUUUUAUAUGUUUCAUAUAAAAAAAUAUAAAUAUUUUUUUAUGUAAGAUAAAUUACCUGUGACGUCCCUUUUACUUCAUAUUGUAUCAUGAUUGAAUGUAAACUAUCAGUAUUCAUAUUAUAAAAGAAAUAAUAUUCUCGCUUGUGAUUUUUGUUUUUGAAUACUUUAUGUAUUGAUUAAAAUACGUAAAUAUGUAUUUUAAUGAAAAUCUUUGCUUGGAAAUACUAGACAAUUUGAGAAAUUUUGGGUUUCAACUAGUAUAUAUUUUCUGUUUUGUUGAAGAAAGAAGAAGAAUAGGCUUGACGUAGAGAAAAACACAUCUUAAUUUUGAAAAAAAUGGGGAAAAAAUAUAUUUUUAAAAAAUUAUUAUUUUAAUCUAAAAAAUAUUGUUAUAAUUUAUAAUAAACAAUCUAAUAUUAUAUAUUUACAUUUUUUUCCCAAUCUAUAAUCAAAUGAUACCUUUAACUCGGAUAAUUCAUCAAAGGAAAAAUUACAGAAAGUAGCAUACUUAACACCAUAAUUACAAUAAAUAGCAACACUUUUUUUAAAAUUACAGUUUAUAGCAAAAGUAACAUUAUUUUGCCCAUAAAUUUCAAAAAAUUGUGUUUUACUUCCUCUCUCAUAUUUAUCACACCCCUUUUUCGUCCGAGAGGGUCGAGUUGAAAGGGUUUUCCAAUUAAAGUGACAGUUUUGAAUAGGAAUUAAUUUAUUUACAGAGUCGUCACUUGAAAUUGAGUUAUGGUGUUUCAAGUUACCUUUUUGAAAUCCUAAUCAAAAGAAAAUGACUCUUUUAUUUUGAUCUGAGAAAACAGAAGACCUGGUAAGGAAUUCUAUUGAUCGAAGGGAAUGUGUGAGGCACCUCUCGAGUCCCGUGGUUCUAUCACGGUCGCUUUUAUUGACUUAUCUUGCCUUAAACUAUUUUUGAUAAAUUAUGUUAAGGCCUAAUUUUGGUCAUUUUUAUUAAACUAAAAAUGUCUAUCAAUAUCUUUUAAAUUAAAUAAAUUAGUGAAAAUUAAUUUUAAAAGAUAUUUGUCAAGGUGCAUUAUUGCAUCCUUGAAUUUAAAAUAUCUCAUAAAGAUGCAUAUGUCGCAUUCUUAAAUGAGAAGAAUACUUUAAAAUAUGCCUAAAAUUUGUCUAAAUAUUAAAAUAUUAAUUUAUCUUUUUGUAAAAAAUUAUAACAAUUUAUCUGUUCAAAAGGCUAUUUAACCUUAACAAAAUUUUGAGCAAAAUUCAAUCUAGGCCAUUAAUUCGAUAAAUAAUUAAGUUUUAUUAAUAAACAAAUAACAUAAUAAAAUAAAUAAAAUUACCCCUAAGAAAGAAAAACAAAAAUAAAAACAUUCUGUUUUAUAUAUCCUUUUUCUAAAAAGACAGAUCUAAGUAUGCACUUUUGUGCUUAUUGACCAAAGACAGGGAAUGGCAGCCAUGACUGGCCGCCUCGCCGGCGAUAGGGAAGGAGCUAAGGGGUGUGUCGACGCGGUGGAAAUAGGGGAGAUGGGACAGCGGCGAUGCUGGUUCGCCAUUGGCCAGAAAUGGAGGAGGGACAACGGUGAUGACAGAUCUGGCCGUUGUCGGGAGAAGAGGAGAAGGAGCGACGCGGCGGCGAGGGUGCGCCUGGGUCGUCGGAGAAGGGGAAGGGAAGAUAACAGCGACGGUCCCAACCGGCUGAACUUCGCUGGAGUUGUAUAAGGAGGCUAUUUUCGGUCUAAAAUGGGGCGGGCAGUGGUAUGGUAGUGGCAGAUUUGGUGUAUUCCGGUGGAAUUUCGCCAAAAAUUUUGGCCGGAAUGGGUUUUCAUGUUUUCCAUUCACUUGCUUGCUGCUUCCGAUAUCACUGUCGAUUUACACCUAAACUUCAUCUUUUCUGAUUUUGUUUUUGUACUAAGAUUGAUUGUUUGUGGAGUUUUUAAUGGGUUUUCAGUGAGUUUUUCAUCGAAUUAUUCAGAAAUAAUAAAUUUUUAUCUUAUCUUUUUUAACUUCAUACCCCUCCCGUUAUCUAUUCCAUUUCUAUGGGUGUUGAAAUCAGUGAGGUCUGUGUGAAUGGAUAUCCUUUGUGUGUGAUGUGUACAAAUUGAUGAGUUACUGCCUAUGUGAGUGUGAAUUAAUGUGUGAAUGAACUGUGUGUGCUUGUACCAGUGUAUGUACAUCUCAUAAGAGAAAAUGCAGUAUGUGUAAUGGUGUAUACAGUGUAUUUACGUAUGAGUGUUGUUACGUCCAUUUUUUUUCUUAAUUCAAUACAAUACAUACAUAAUAUCACAUAUUAAACCAUGAAAUUAUCAACGUAACAAUGAACAUGAUUUGAUUCACUAAAAAAUUCAUAAAAUAAAUAAUAUAAAAUUUACAUAGAACCUGAUGAUGAAUUAAAACAGCAGUUCGAACACUGUAACCGGAAACUCCAAAAGAAACCGAACAUCAACCUAUUUCUUUUUUUUUUGUCUUUUGUGAUGUUUUUGUUUUUCUCCUCUCUUUAUUUUCUCUGGUUUUCUCGAUCUUUUUUGGAUGCAGUAACAGUGUAGAUAUCUGAUAAUGUGUAUGUUGAAUUCUCUGGAAGUGGGUAAGUUCUUAAAUAGUAGGAUUCUUGCGGGGGAAAGGUUAAUAUCAAAUAUAAUAUUGGAUAGAAUAUUUAAAUUUGAAUUAUUAUUAUUAUUUUUUUUAGAAGAUAAUAAUAAUAAAAAUAAAUAAAUAAGAUAAUAAUAAUAAAUAUAAUAAUAACUAAUUGAUUUUUAUAUAUUAUAUAUAUUUAAAAAAUAUAUAUUAUUAUUUUUUAAAAAAAUAAAAAAAAUCAAAAUUAACUUUAUUUAUUUUGAACUAAAAAUGAAAUAGGAGUUAAAAUAAUAUUGGAUCGAUAUAAAUAUUUAAUAUAGAUAAAUGAAUUAAAAUUCAGGGAGGAUCAAAAAUCACGUGUAUACAUUUUUGCCCCUCUUUGUGUGGAAUCUCGAAAAUUUUUCAUACAAAGAAGUAGACAAGAUAUAAUUUUUGACCCUUCAAUUAUUUGAAAGAUAAGGAUAAAAUAAAAUUAAAUUAAAAGAAAAAAUGGGACUGAGUCCUGGUUUUGGACUUCCUACCUAUCCCCGGUUAUAAGGGAAUUAGGUCACGAGUAGUUUAGAGGAAACAUGGUGAAAGAAUGAGUUAAACGUCGAGUGAGAUUCCGUUGAAUUUUUGGUUAACGACUUUUGCUUUUUUACAUUCAAAUGACUAACAAAAAUAAAAAAUGAAAAGAUACCAGUGAAAAUUGCAAUUUCUAGAAUUUUGAUUCAAAUCUUAAUGACUUGAACUUGAAAAUUCACCCUAUUCUUCAGGCGGACUCCUGAAUUAUUUUUUCUUCACCCUGUUCUUCAAGCGGGCUCCUGAACUUACUUUUUCUUCACCUUGUUCUUCAAGCGGGCUCUUGAAAUUAUUUUUUCUUCACCCUGUUCUUCAAGCAGGCUCUUGGACUUACUUUUUCUUCACCCUGUUCUUCAGGCAGGCUCCUGGACUUACUUUUUCUUCACUCUGUUCUUCAAGCGGGCUCCUAAACUUCUUUUUUCUUUACCCAGUUUUUCAGGCGGGCUCCCGAAAUUACUUUUUCUUCACCCUGUUCUUUAGGCGGGCUCCUGGACUUCCGUUUUCUUCAUCCUGUUCUUUAGAAGGGUCCUAAACAAAAAAUAAAUUCUCAUUCUUCAGGAGGGUCCUGGAAAAAAAUAAAUUUCCAUUCUUCAGGAGGGUCCUGAGCGAAAAAUAAAUUUUCAUUCUUCAGGAGGGUCCUGGACACAAAUAAAUUCCCAUCUUUGUUUCAAACCAAAAAAAUCGUGAGUUUUAAAACAUGUGGUGGUUGGUUUGUGGCAUUUGGCUUUUGAAAUGACCGCUCUUGCACUUGCCAUGCUCCACUCCUUUUCGAAUUCUUGAUAAAUAUUUGUUGACUUGUCAUACUUCUGAUCCCAAAUUCUGACUACUGAGACUCUCAACUCAAAACAUAUUUCUCUUGUAUGAAAUCUCUGGAUUUAACUUUCAAUACACCUUUUAUCUUUCCACGAGUCUAACAUUGUCAGAUCACAAUCAUUCUGAGUACUUUAUUAUACCUUAAAAUGUUGUCUUUGUUCCUCAACUUUUUGUCUUGCUGUGUACCUUUGAAGAAGUUGGUAACAAGUUUGAAGUCUUUCCUUACUUGACUUGACAUGAAUUUGACUAAAAAAUACAUAAAAGAUGACAAUAAUUUUCGUUUGACGACAACGACACAAAUCCAAAAAAUUAAAAUAAAACAAAAAGGAAAAAAAAAACAAUAGACAUCUCUUUUUCAAAACAAAAAGAAAAACUUAUCUGAAUUUUGGAAGUUGAUUCCAGUGAUUAUGACAUGCAUUUAUGAUUAAACAACCUGAUCUAAUUAUAUUAAUCAUUAUCAACUUUGUCCACUUAUUGAACUUGAAAUUAAGUCAAUCAUGAACUUGUUCCUUCUGAAUAACAACCCUUCUUCGGCUAGUGGCACCUCAAUGGGUUUUUGCCAAUAAGCCUAUCUCAUUUUUAUUUCUCAGCUCACAAUCGCCUAAUGGUGCCCAAAAGGGUUUUCACUAAUAAGACUCUCUCAUUUUCACUUUUAUUUUUUUUAACACCCAAAACAUGAAAUAUCAUGCACCCAUAAGAUGUUAAGCUUUGACAUUCUCAAAGAUUGAUCUGAAGGUCUUUCUUUGGUUGUAACUUGGCUUUUGAAAAGGGUUAGACAGAAAGGGCAGCAUGAGGCUCAAAAAUUUACAUAACAUUAGCUGAAGUAUACAACUUUUGGAAUUGAUUCUUUAAGGAAAUAAACUUUUGCUCCAGUUUUAUUUCAUUCUGGGUAACUUAAAAUUUUCUUUUGGUUAGACCGAAUCCUAGAGUAGGGAUGCCUACGUAUCUUAUCAUAGCAAGAAUCGAGUCAAACGUAGUUCAGAAAUGUCAUUCUUUCGCUUGAUUUUGAUUUUUUGAUUGAUUUUUUUUUCAACAACUUAUUUUUUUUCAACUUAUUUUUUUUUCCAACUUUUUUUUAACUAAAUUUUUUUGACUUUAAUUUGAUUCCAAAAGAGGGGUACGAAGAAAGAUAAAAUCUCAAAAGGGGUAAGCAAAGGUUGAUAUAUUAUUCAGAUAGUAGAACAAAGUGCCUUCAUCAUUUCAAUCUUUUAAAAUGUAAGUACAAAACAUACAUAACAUAAUCGUACAUGAAUAUCAUAUAUAAUAUCUUUUAACUACAUCAGCAUUGAUCGGCAAUUCUUCCAUUUUGCCUUCUACAUCAGUCAGAUAUAAUGCGCCAUUAGGUAACACUUUCUUCACCGUGAAUGGUCCUUGCCAAUUAGGAGAAAAUUUGCCUUUGGCUUCAAUCUGAUGGAGAGGAUGUGUCUUAAUACUAACUGACUAGCUUUAAAAUGUUUGUGAUGCACCUUUUUGUUGUAUGCCCGUGCCAUUUUCUUCUGGUAUAGUUGUCCAUAACAUACUGACGUCAAUCUUUUUUCAUUAAUCAAGCUUAAUUGCUCUAAUCGGGUCUUGACCCAUUGAUCAUCAUCAAUUUCAGCUUUCAUAACUACUCGAAGAGAUGGAAUCUCAAUCUCUGCAGGUAUAACUGCUUUAGUCCCAUACACUAACGAGUAAGGAGUUGUACCAAUUAAAGUCCGAACUGUAGUACGAUAACCCAACAAAGUAAAUGAUAACUUUUCAUUCCAUUGUCAAGAACCUGCACCAUCUUACGGAGUAUUUUCUUUAGAUUUUUGUUGGCAGUUUCUACAGCCUCAUUUUCCUUUGGGCGAUAAGGAGUUGAAUUCCUAUGAAUAAUCUUAAAUUGCUAGCAAACUUUUUGCAUCAAGUGACUAUUGAGAUUUGGAUCAUUAUCCGUGACAACUAUCUUUGGAAUGCCAAAUCGACAAAUGAUGUUAGAGUGAACAAAAUCAACCACCGCUUUCUUGGUCACUGACUUGAAAGUCGUUGCUUUCACCCACUUCGUGAAAUAAUCAAUGGCCACCAUGAUGAACAUAUGUCCAUUCAACACUUUUGGUUUAAUUGAUCCAAUUAUGUCCAUUCCUCAAGCCACAAAAGGCCAUAGAGCAGUCAUUAUAUGCAACUCAGAUGGAGGAGAAUGUAUCAAGUCACUGUGUACCUGACAUUCAUGACAUUUACGAAUGAAAUGGAUGAAAACUCGCUCCAUGGUGAGCCAAUAAUAACCUGCUUGAAGUAUUUUCUUUGCCAAAACAUACCUGCUCAUGUGUGGUCCAUAAAUUCCAAAAUGUACUUCAGUCAUGAUUUUUGAAGCUUCUUUAACAUCUAUACACCUUAAAAGUCCCAAAUCUAGAGUUCUCUUAUCAAGAUUCCUCCACUGAGGAAAAAUUCGCUAGCCAAUCGUCGAAUGGUUCUCUUUUGGUUACUAUCGGUAUGUAUGGGAUAUUUUCUAGACUGAAUAUAUUCUUUGAUAUCAUGGAACUAAGGCUCUUCAUCAAGUUCUUCCUCAACCACAUUGAAAUAUGGAUGUUGAUCACGGAUCUAUAUAUAAACGGGGUCAAUAUGAGUCUUAUCGGGAUGUUGGAGCAUCGAAGAUAAGGUCGCCAAAGUAUCAACAAUCUCAUUAUGAGCUCUGGGAAUAUGCUUGACCUUUACUAAUACAAAUCAUUGACAAAGAUCUUGUAAACAACCUCGAUAUAGUAGGAGUUUUGAAUCACAAGUCUCUCAAUCUCCUUGGAUUUGGUGGACUAACAAAUCUGAAUCUCCUAACACCAACAGUUCUUGGAUUCCCAUAUCGAUAGCUAAUCUCAAACCCAAAAUGUAAGCUUUAUAUUCUGCCAUAUUAUUGGUACAAUAGAAUCGAAGUUGGGCUAUUUCAGGAUAAUAUUGUCCUGAUUCAGAAAUAAGAACUGCUCCUAUCCCUAGUCCUUUUACAUUAGCGGCUCCAUUGAAGAACAACUUCCAACCUAAAUGGCAAUCAUCAGAAAUAAUCUCAUCAAUACAUAAGACCUCUUCAUCUGGAAAGUAAGUCUUUAAUGGCUCAUAUUCUUCAUCGAUAGGAUUUUCAGCCAAAUGAACCGCUAAAGUUUGAGCUUUUAUCGCAGUUCGUGUUACAUAGACAAUAUAAAAUUCUAUGAGUAGCAUAUGCCAUUUUGCGAGUCUGCCAGUGGGCAUAGGCUUCUGAAAAAUGUACUUUAAAGGAUCUAUACGAGAUAUGAGAUAAGUAGUGUAAGAUGACAAGUAAUGCUUCAGCUUUUGUGCUACCCAAAUUAAGACACAUGUUUUUUCGAGAAGAGUGUACUUAGCCUUAUAAGUGGUAAACUUUUUGCUAAGCUAGUAGAUGGCUUGUUCUUUUCUGCUUGUGACAUCAUGUUGACCUAAUAUACAACCAAAAGAAUUGUCUAACACAGACAUAUUCAAUAUCAAGGGUCUGCCUGGCUUUGGAGGAACUCAAAUAGGCGGAUUCGACAAGUACCUCUUAAUUCUGUCAAAUGCUUCUUGACAUUCUUCAGUCUAUUCAACUUUAGCAUUCUUCUUCAACAACUUGAAAAUCGACUCAUAGGUCAUCGUAAGUUGGGCAAUGAACCUACUGAUAUAAUUCAACCUUCCAAGUAAACUCAUCACCUCCGUUAGUGGUGUACAAACUGAACCGUUAAGUCAAACCGAAUCGAUGAAUCAAACCAAACCGAGAAAAAAAUUGACUUAUGGUUUGAUUUGAUUGGUUUGGUAUUGGCAAAAAAAAUCGAUCAUUCUUGGUUUGGUUUGAUAUUAGCAAAAUUAAAAUCAAGUCGAACCUAAACCGAACCGACAUAAUACAUAUAUAAUUUUAAUUUUUUAUACGUGAAAAAAUAUUACUUAUAAUCUACUUUCUAAUUACUUUUAUUACUUUUUUAUAUUCAGAAAAUAGAUAUAUAUCUUGGGCCUUCAAUCAUAAUAUUUGUUCAUUAGUAACAAAUUAAUACAAAGCCCAAUAUUAAUAUAAAAAAAACUAAAACUCUUCAGUUGCUUCACUUUACAUUUUACUUUUCAUGUUUUCAGAGAGUUCUCAUUAUUUCAUCAUCUUACUUUUCUCAUUCUCCUCAUUCAUCAAGUUGUGAUUUAGGUUUGUUUCUCUCCUUUUUUUUUAUGGAAUUAUGUUAUAGUUAAUUAUUUUAUGGAGUUAAAUUUUUAAUAAGUUGUCUCCAAUUCUUCAUUCUUUUGUAUGCUCACAUUUUAUGUGAAGGGAACUUUCAAACAAACUACUGUGACUAGUGACUUAGAAAUUGAACCACUGGGUAUACACAUAAUAUUACUUUGAGAGAUAGUAGUUUAGACGUCUUAGUAAUUGACCAACUUAAUUUUAAUUGAAACUACUCUAUGACCAUUUUUUAAAUCUUUUUAGAGAAAACAUUAAUUUUUUUAUUCAAUCACAUUAAAUAGUAAAAGAAUUUGAGAAAACCGAAAAAAAAAACGAUUGUAUAUUGGUUUGAUUUGGUUUAUAGAUUUAGAAAACCGACAUUAUUGGUUUGGUUAUAUUUUAAUGAAAAACCGAACCAACCCGACCUAUGUACAUCCCUAACCUCCGUUUUGUUCUUUGGUGGAGGCAAAUCUUGAAUAGCUUUUAUUUUUGAAGGAUCUAACUCAAUGUCAUGUCUACUGACUAUAAACCCCAAGAGCUUUCCUAAUGGGACUCCAAAUACACAUUUCGCUGGUUAAGUUUGAGAUCAUACCUUCGAAGCCUUUCAAAGAAUUUCCUCAGAUCUUUGACAUGGUCAGACUGGUCUCUUGAUUUAAUGAUCACAUCAUCCACAUAAACUUCAAUCUCUCUGUGCAUCAUGUCAUGAAACAUUAUGGUCAUUGCCCUCAUGUAAGUUUCCCCAGCAUUAUUUAGUCCGAAUGGUAUAACUUGGUAAUAAUAUGUCCCUCAUGAAGUAAUAAAUAAUGUCUUCUCCGCAUCUUCUAGAUCCAUAAUGAUUUGGUAAUAUCCCGCAUAACAAUCCACAAAAGAUGCAAGAUCAUGUUUGGCACAAUUGUCCAACAAAAUAUGAAUAUUGGGAAGUGAAAAAUCAUCUUUUGGACUUGCUUUAUUUAGAUCACGAUAAUCAACAUAUAUCCAAACUUUGCCAUCCUUCUUUGGAACAGGGACAAUAUUCGCCAACCAAGUAGGAUAUUGAGCCACCCGAAUGACUUUAGCCUCAAGUUGCUUCAUGAUUUCCUCUUUGAUUUUUACACUCAUAUUGGUUUUAAGCUUCCUUAACUUUUGCUUGAUGGAUGGGAAAGCAGGAUCAAUUGGCAACUUAGGAACUACCAAAUCAGUGCUCAAACUGGGUAUAUCAUCGUAAGACCACAUAAAGAUGUCUUUGUACUCAGUCAAAGCUUUAAUUAUAGCUUUAUUUUGUUGUGGUUGAGCAUGUACACUUAUCUUAGUCUCCCUAAUAUUUUCAUGAUCUCCUAAAUUGAUCGCCUCAGUUUCAUCCAAAUUGGGAUUUGACUUAUUCUCAAACUGUUUGAAAUCUUUGCUUAUAUCCUCAAAUACUUCCUCUUCAUCGUAUUCAACCUCUUUAUUUAUUAUUUCGUAUUCAACCUCUUCAUGCAUGUCAUAUCAUUAGAAUAGGCACAGAAAGAACAAGACUCCUUCACAAUAGGGAGAUGAGUGGUCUCCCAAUUGUUAAGCUGGACAUCAGGACCAAUAAAAUGCAUAUCUGUAUUACUAGUACCUUACCUAAUUUCAACCAUAUUAGCUUCAAUGAACAUAUUAUGGAAAAGGUUGAUCAAUUUUGUAUCAUCAUUAUUCAUUGACUCUGCAACAAGUAACAUGGAGGACCCAACAAGACUGACUUUAAUGAAAUACUCGUGAAGUGGCGAUAUCGACUUGGUAAGUGACCAUGACUCUUUCUUACGCUUUUUUGCCUUUUUUAUAUCCUCAAAAGUUGGCUCGUAUCCCAAACGAAAGGUACCAAGUUCUCAUGGAGGUUUACUGGAUGGACCCUGCCUUGCAACAUCCCUAGACCUUUCUUUGGUUCUAAACCAUGCUUCAACAUUUCAUUCACUACCAUAACAGAUGUAGAGAAAAAUUAUGGUCUUGCGAUGAGAUUCCCCUCGAGGAUAUGCUCAACAAGCACUACUUCAGAGGCUUGAUGAAUUAGCACUCUAUCUGCAGUAUCUGCUUCAUUAGAAGAAAUAGAAUAGUCUUUAUACAUGGAUAAGUCUCCUUCACCAUGAACAACUAUUUCUUGCCUGUCAUAUUCAAAUUUAACUAUUUGGUGCAAUGUUGAUGCAAUUGCUCCAGCCCUAUGAACCCAUGGCCUAUCCAAUAACAUAUUAUAUGAAGCAUUAAUGUUCACAACUUGAAAAUCCACGGCAAAAUCCACAGGCCCAAUUGUCAAUAUGAGCUCUAUUUCACCAAUGGCAUAAGUUUUUUAUCCGUCAAAAUCUUUGACACAUACAUUAUUAGGUAGGAUCCUUUCCAUAUUGACAUUCAACUUUUGUAAAGUUGUCAUAGGAAAAAUGUUAGCGCCUAAUCCUCCAUCAAUCAACACUCGAGUGAUGAAGGAAUGUUCACAUUUCACAAUAAUGUAGAGACCUCUAUUAUGUCUAGUACCUUCCACAGGCAAUUCGUCGUCUGAGAAAGUGAUCUUAUUUACCUCAAGGAUCCUUCCAACAACUUUUUUUGGUUGAUUCACCUUAAUCACACUAGGAACACAUGCCUCAUUAAGAAUCUUCAUUAUAGCCUUGCGGUAAUCCUCGAAAUGUAUCAAUAAAGACAAAAAAGAAAUCUGGGUUGGCGUCUUCUUCAACUAUUCUAUAAUAGAAUAUUAUGGAAAUUUUAUUUUCUUUAAGAAUUCUUUAGCUUCUUCAUCAGUAAUUGGCUUCUUGACUGUCAUUCAUUCUUCAUUGCCUUGUUUAUUCUUUCUUAACUCUACUGGGGCAUAAAAUAUCCCAGAUCGAGUUAAUUGCCCUAAUUCAUACACAUCUUCGAUUAUUUCUUUCCCUUUGUUCAUCACCACAAUGCUAUCAUAGUUCUAGGAGACCACCUUGAUAUUAACCAUAGGUAGCUAUGACACUGGUUUAAUAACAAUAGGAGCUAUGGGAGCUCCUCUUAUGAUUAAAAGAGGCUUAGUGGGUCUUCCAGGAACAAUGAGCUUUGGAUUUACUUGACCUGACCUAACAUUUUCUGGAAUCUCUUUCCCCACGACCAAGGCAAUUUUUGAUGAUUCAGAGUUUAUUAUCACCACCUCCAUUUCUGCAGUUUUUUCUUUCAUCAAAUCUACAACAUUUCUUGAUUUUUCCAAAUCAGUUUUAAUUUUAAUGAUUGUCUUGAAGAAAAUCGCAACAUCUUCACCAGUAGGUAUCACUUCGAGCAUGUUUGUUUCAUUAUGAUCUAGCAAUGGAUUUUGAUUAAUAUUCGAAACGUCUGGACUAUGCACCAUGAUCUGUUGUGUGUUAGUCAGCUCCUGAAUAACUCUUUUCAGAUACCGAUAUUUCUCUGUGUCAUGCCCUGGAGCAUCAGAAAAAUACGCAUAUCUUCUGGAGUAAUCCAAGUUUUUCGGUGAAGGAUUCGAAAUUUUUCUCGCUAUUGGGCUUACAAUAUUCAUUUUCCUCAGCCUCUGAAAUAAGUUGGCGUAAGAUAUUCCAAUAGGAGUGAAAUUAUCUUUGCCCAUAUUGUCCUUCUUGUAGUCCGCUCUAGGCCAAAAAUUAGAACUUAGGGGGCCUCUUUGAACUUGUGGGAUUGAUGGAUAAUUUUGGAUGUCUAGUACACGUCUUUGUGGGUAAGAAGGAACCCGAACAUAUGGUUGCGCAUUAUAAGUAGAAUAUUGAGGAGAUGGAAUUGAAUAUAAUGAAUUUUGUGAGGGAACAUAGUGUCGUGGAUGGUUAUAUGGGUCUUGGACAUAAAUUUGGGAUUGAGAUUGUACGUAAGGGUGACGCGCACCUCUCCAAUUUUGUCGUAGACCUGGCACAAUGGUAGCUACAUCUUUAUUCCUUUUCUUUUGAUACAAUAUAUACUUGGAAAUAUAAGAAAAUGCACAAAACAUACACCAAAACAUUCCACAAGUUCAAAGAACAGAUGACCCCUUUGAUGACCACUCUCGGAUUCAACAAAUACAACAAGAGUACAAGAUAAAAAUAGUGUAUUUCACACCAAAACAGCCAACAACACAACAAUUAGAUGAAUAACAAUAUGAACAACAAUGACACAAGUUUCAGAUUCAAUAAAGGACCCAAAACAGUCCACUACACAAGAUAACAACAACAAAAGUAAAGAUAAAAAGUGAGACAUAUAUUAUUACAAGGCGUAAGAACUAGGGUGUGCAUUAAACACCUAAAACCUUAGAAACAUGUAAUAAGAACACCUACACUCUUAGUGGACACAAGAGGGGCUUCAAUCUCCCAAGCACCCAACGUUCCAAACCAAGAACAAACAACACAAGUGAUUCCACACUUGGUGUUCACCUAAUUUAGUGUUUGCCUCUUAGAGAAGAGAGGACUUGUGUUGCACACUCUCAAAAUAUCAUUAAUAACUAAUUAAUAAAACCAUAAGUGGUUCUCUAUAUAGUAUAUUACAAAGUGGAAGUCAAAAAUGACCAAAAGACCUUUAAUGAGUGGGAGCCCAUCAAGUGUAAUAUGUUAGCUGAUUUUUGGUACAUUUAGGUCCUCUUUUGCACUUUAAUUGCACACACCAAGUCUUGGAUCCAACAUAUUCCCUCAUGAGUCCAUCUACAUGAUCGUACUUGCAUCAUCUUUCUACCCAAACUUCCAGCACCACUUUGAAUUGCCUGUGUAGUUGCUUUCAAAGUGGCCUGGCUGAUAAUCUUUCCAGACUUAAUUCCAUUCUCUACCAUCUCUCCAACUUUAAUGACUUCAGCAAAUAUGUUUCUGAUGGUAGAAAGUAAGUGAUGAAAAUAAUCAGGCUCUUCUGCUUGCAGAAAGAUAUCAGUCAUUUUAGAUUCCUUUAUCGAUGGUUUGACUCUUGAAGCCUACUCUCUUCAUCUGACAGCAUAUUAUCGAAAGCUUUUAGUCAUUUUUUUCUUAUGUUGGCAAGCGUAGUGCGAUCUGGCACUAUCUCCAUGUUAUAUUGAAAUUCUUAAAUAAAAUCCUGAGCCAUGUCAUCCCACACAUGCCAACAGGAAAUGUCUUGAUCAAUAAACCAUUCAGAAGCUAUUCCUGCCAAGCUUUCUCCAAAGUAAGCCAUGAGCAAUUCUUUUUUUCCUCCUGCUCCCCUUAAUUGAUUGCAAAACUUUUUUAAGUGAGCCACAGGAUCGCCAUGACCUUUGUAUUUGACAAACUUGGGCAUUUUGAACCCCAUCGGCAAAUGGACAUCCAAAAACAUGCACAAAGCUUUAUAUGAAACACUUUUUGGUCCUCCUAAUCCUUGCAUAUUUGUCAUACUCUGCUCCAAGCUUCUUACUUUCCGAGCCAUCUCCUUUUGUUCCUCAUUCUUAACAAUCUUCUCAACCACGAUAGGAGAAUCGUGUUGAUGAACAUGAAAAUGUGGAUUUUGAGGUUUGAAAGUCAUUUCAGGAGGAUACAAUAGAUCAUGACUUGGUUCUCCCAUAUUCUUCGGUACUGUCGAAUAAGGGGCCACAUUAGUUGGUGCUACAAAAGUGAAAAAUGGGUUAUUUGUGACAGAUGGAUUUGGUGGGCGCAUGGUAGAAGUACCAGCAACGCAAGUCACAUUAGCAUACAGACCAAAUCCAAGUGGGUAUAAUGGAUCGCUAGUUUGAGCUUGAGCAAAAUUUAAAUCAUUCGUAUUCAAAAGUCCAGGGAUUGAAGAAGGCGGGGCUUGUCCAUUCAACCAAACUUGGUACAUUUUUGCCAUUUGUUGUUUCAAUAAUUUAAUCUCUUCUAUUGAUGCUAAUUCCUGCGAAAUCAACUGAUUUUGCUCUUCUUCACUGUCAGACCCUACACCUUCUCUGUGGGUCGUCUUUUUCUUUCCUUUGUAUCUGGUGUUGUACGGAUGUGAUGCCAGUUUAAACCACAAACCAACCACCAACUAGUUUAUAUUUCUGAGACUAAGUAGAAAACGGGUGAGUGUUAUAUAUUUAACACAUUAUAAUGUCAUGUUGUAUGUUAUGCUUCUAUAUGCAUUUCUCAACCUAUCAUGGAAGGCUUUGUGUUUCAUUCUGGCUUUUCUAGGUGCACUAUUUCAAAGUUAUGAUCGAACCCUUUGGAGGGUUGCGUAUGUAUCAUGCCAGGACAUAAAUCAAAUCUUGCAUAGUUCGGGAAGCUGGAGAUAUGAAGAAACACACUUUUUUUAAAAAAUUAUUUUUGAAUUUAUUAAAUAAUAUAAAAUAUUUUUUUUAUAAGAUCACCGAAUCCAUUGAGGAUUGCCUACGUAUCUCAUUAAGAUGAGAAUCUGGUGUGUGUAGUUCUUGAAAUAUAUAUCAUACAAAACUCACCCUCAAGACCCCUAAAGGUUCAGGGCCGUUAAGAUUUAUAUAUAUAUAUAAAAAAAAAUUAAACUUGAGUAUAAGAAAAAUAAUUAUGAAAGUACUCAUAUUUUUAAAAUAUUUCCCCAAUAAAUCUACGAAUAAUUUUUAAAAAGAUAGGGUUGUAUCCUGAAAAGGACUUCCUACGUAUCCCAUUAAGAUGUGAGAAUCAGACCCUUAUAGUUCAUGAAGACCGUAAAAACUAUGUUAUUAUACAUUUAAAAUUUUCCUUUCUUUUAAAAAUAAAAUUUUUUUUUAAAAAAUGACUCACUAAAUAUAAUCUCUUGCAUUUCAAAGUUGCCUAAAAGCUGGUCAACAAUCAAAUAACCUUCUAAAAAAAAUGUCAAAGAGCACGUAGGAUGCACAUGUUGGUCAAAAAAGGGACACCUAUCCUAGACAGACCCGGCUCCUGUGCCGAAUCCCACUAAGUAAAAUGCAUAUGAUGCAAAUAAAGCAAAACCUAAUAGGAUAACCAGAUUCUGAAUUUUUAGUUCUUCUAAGUUUAAGCCUAAUAGGGAUAGGUGUCUAGAUUAGCUUACCCGACCGGACACUCGAGUCGGGGAGAGACAACUUAUUCGGUAGCAGUGCUACUCCGCUUUCAUUGUCGAUCCAAACCCCGCCAACAUGUGUGACUAUAAUCCUUCACCAGGUGCCUUGACACUCCGGCUAUAACAAAAAGAAAGUAGGAUGCAUGCGUUGCAUUCCUUCUAUCCUAUUUCAGAGACUCAGAGGGGGUGCGCAAGAGAAGACAGUUUAUAAAAUAACUCAACAAUAUUAAAGCAGUAAAUGAGCAACAAGUGGCACGUCAGCCCGAUAAACACAAUAUCAAAAAUAAUUAAAGUAAGUAAAGUCAAUAUCAAAAGCUCGAAUUCUUAUAUUUUCCCCAGCAGAGUCACCAGAGAUGUCAGAUCUCUUUUUUGCCCGAGAGGGUCGAGUUAAAGGGUUUUUCAAUUAAAGUGACAGUUUUGAAUAAGGAUUAAUUUAUUUACAGAGUCACCACUUAGAAUUGAGUUAUGGUAUUCCAAGUCAUUUUUUUGAAUCUCUAAUCAAAAGAAAAUGACUCUUUUAUUUCGGUCUGCGAAAACAGAAGAUCGGAUAAAGAAUUCUAUUAAUCAAAGGGAGGGUGUGUGGCACCCCUCGAGUCCCGUGGUUCUAGCACGGUCACUUUUAUUGACUUAUCUUGCCUUAAACUAUUUUUGAUAAAUUAUGUUAAGGCCUAAUUUCGCUCAUUUUUAUUAUACUAAAAAUGUUUAUCAAUAUCUUUUAAAUUAAAUAAAUUAGUGAAAAUUAAUUUUAAAAGCUAUUUUGUCAAGGUUCAUUAUUGCAUCCUUGAAUUUAAAAUGUCUCAUAAAGAUGUGUAUACCGCAUUCUUAAUUGAGACGAAUAUUUUAAAAUAUGCCUAAAAUUCGCCUAAAUGUUAAAAUAUUAAUUUAUCUUUUUGUAAAAAUUUAUAACAAUUUAUCUGUUCAAAAGGCUAUUUAACCUUAACAAAAUUUUAAGCAAAAUUCAAUCUAGGCCAUUAAUUCGAUAAGUAAUUAAAUUUUAUUAAUAAAUAAAUAACAUAAUAAAAUAAUAAAAUAAAUAAAUAAAAUUACCCCUCAAAAGAAAAAGAAAAAACAAACAUAAAAACAUUUCGUUUAUUAUGUAUUUGUUUUCUAAAAAAACAGAUCUUGCGCACUUUUGUGCUUAUUGACCAAAGACAGGGGAGUGGCAGCCAUGACUGGCCGCCUUGCCGGCGAUGAAGAGGGGGUUAAGGGGUGUGUCGACGCAGUGGAAAAAGGGGAGAGGGGACAACGACAAUGUUGGUUCGCCAUUGGCCGGAAAUGAAGGAGAGACGGUAGUGAUGGAAGAUCUGAUCGUCGUCGGGAGAAGAGGAGAAAGAGCGACGUGGCGGCGAGGGUGCGCCCGAGUCAUCGGAAAAGAGAAAGGAAAGAUAGCAGUGACGGUCCUAACCGAUCGAACUUCGCCAGAGUUAUAAAAGGAGGUUGUUUCAGAUCUAAAAUGGGGCGGACAGUGGUAUGGUAGUGGCAGAUUUGGCGUAUUCCAGUGGAAUUUCGCCGAAAAAUUUUGGCCGGAACGGGUUUUCAUGUUUUUCAUCCACUUGCUUGCCACUUCCGAUAUCACUGUCGAUUUACACCUAAACUUCAUCUUUUUUGAUUUUGUUUUUGUACUAAGAUUGACUGUUUGUGGUGUUUUUAAUGGGUUUUCAGUGAGUUUUUCGUUGAAUUAUUCAGAAAUAAUAAAUUUUUAUCUUAUCUUUUUUAACUUCAUACCUCUCCCGUUAUCUAUUCCAUUUCUAUGGGUGUUGAAAUCAGUGAGGUCUGCGUGAAUGGAUAUCCUUUGUGUGUGAUGUGUAUAAAGUGACGAGUUACUGCCUGUGAGUGUGAAUUAAUAUGUGAAUGAACUCUCUGUGUA
rnacentral:lncRNA from 1 species